rnacentral:lncRNA from 1 species
UUCAUAGAAAGAGUGUAAAACAGCUUAGUGCUCGUGCUCAAUGGGACAUUGCAAGGAUGUUCCUCAUUUGCUAAGCUUCGGAGGCCGGCCAUGACUUGAACCGAUGCAUCUGUGUCAUUGUAUGCAGGAAGAUGAGGCAAGGAGGGAGGUGAAGAUGGAGUGUAGUAACCCCUAUACUGUACUAUAGCUGUGGUGGUUGUGUUAUCAUAGAAGUCUUGAUAUUUCGGGGCAACAGAAUAAGUUAUAGCCGCCAUGUAAUAGUGAUCCGGGCGUUGGUUAGCUUCUAGUAAGACAUCAUAGGUUUGGCCAGGAAAUAUUGUGAUAUAAUCUCGUGUCAAUGGUUUUGUGUAGCUACCAUCUGUUCCAACCACUGUCAUUUUAUGCUUGGCUAUGCCGAAGAAGAGAGCCUCGUGCAAGGCAGCAUUGAUUAUGCGAAGUAGAUAGGUCUUUCCACGAUCCACCGUUAGCUUGAAUGUGCCUGCAAUUAGAAAGGGAAAGUUGUAUACUUAUGACUAGCCAAAAGAAAAAGAAAAAGUUUCCAUUAGAAUCCACCAAUUAUGAAGUGAUUGAUUGAUUAAGGGUGUAAAUUUGGCUCCAUAGUUCAAAAUUAUAUUUGGACUAGCCUUUUUUGAUGUGUUAAAUCAUGGCUCUACCAUCCUCAUAUCUAUAUUCCUCUUUCUUAGCAUUAACCUUUAAAUAUGUUGAUGUUAAUAAGAAAAAGUAGUAUGGUUAACAUAUAAGAAAAUGAAAUCGUGUACAAUUUUAAAAUGGGAAGUUAAACUUUGUACCUGAUUUUGAGCAUGGAUAUAGAUCACCAGGUUGUCCAUUUAUCAAUAAAGCAUUAGAGGAGUUGGGGUCACCUCCGGUUGCAAGCCCUUGAUCUCGAACCUCAUUCACAUCCCUCUUCCACCACUCUCCUGCAUUUCAACAACUUCAAUAAUUUUAGAUUUUGCUUGGUUGGUUAAUUCAUAAUAUGUAAAUUAACCUUUAAAAGUAACAACACUUAUACCUAAUAUGAUGGGGACUUCUGCGUUAGGUUUGUGAAAAGGAUACUUGGUUCCAUUCUUGGGAUAGAUGAUUAUAGCUCCAUGAACAGUGGCUCGGGUCCAGUCACUGUGAGCAUGCCACCAUAGAGUGCCUUCCUCAGUGGAAAGGAUGAUCUUCUGGGUAAACUUUGACCCUGGCUGAAUUGGGCAUUGUGUGAUAUACUCGGGACCAUCUGUCCAUGGAUAUCUAGGCAUGGUCACCCCAUGCCUGCAAAACCAUAACUAUACGUUAAAGCUAGUACUAAUUUUCAAAGUAACAAAAGAUAGCAUGCAACAAGCAUCAAUUGUAUUUCAAUGGAACUGAAGCAAAUAACCCUAAAGUAUUGUUUUAAAUUUGACUUUAUUUUUAAAGCAAUAUAUUGCGGCUCCCUCUUAGAAAGAAAAGAAUGUAAGCCAUGUCUUUCUCUAAGAUACACACAGGACCUACCAGUGAAUGGUGAUGUUUUCUUUUCCCCUGUUAUAAACAUCGACAAUGAUCGUCUCUCCUUUCAUAGCAUAUAUAGUUGGUCCCGGAAAUUGUCCAUUUACUGUUAAGAUGUUCUUGGCGCUACAAAGCCUUGUAUAUGAAGCUUCCCUCACCUGCAACCAAUUAAAAGUUAACCAUGCAACCUCAUCCCAAAAGAAAUAUUACAAGUAUGAAUAGUUCCAUCGAUCUAUUCAUGUAAGUGUAUAACCAAUUAGAAAUUGAUGGCAUGCAUGAAUGACUCAACGGCACCCAUAACAUGCAUGAACAACUCAAUGACACUAAGGUAAGAGGUCAUACGGUAGAAAAUGAGAGCCAUACUACUAGCUAAAUAUCAUGAUUAGAAGGUGGCGUUUAGGCCAGAAUCAUAUAUAAUAUUUACCACAAAAGUAAGCCGACGGGUCGAAGCUUGGCAAUGGAUGCCACCACCAAAAACUAGAAACGCUAAAAUUUGCAAGAGGAAAACCUUCAUGAUCAGCCACAUUUUCCUUGGAAUAAAAGCCUCUUCUCUUGUCCUAAACACAACUCCUUCAAUUCUCUUACUACUUUUGAUAUAUUUCUUUCAUAUAUGAUUCAUUAUAUAGGCAUGGUAAUUCUCUCGGGAUACAAUACUUCCUCUCCACGUGUCAAUAUAAGAGGAAGUGAUUUGAAUGUGUAUUGGUUUUCAAUGUUCUUAUGAUAUUUCUUACAAGUUACCUACACGUUAUCUUAGAAUAAAUUUAAAAUAUUCUUUCACAAGUCCAACAAAUGUUAAUUAAUUAAAACUUUGACCUCCCGUAUGAGUACCCUUAUCAAGAUUAGUCAUGAAUACUGUUUUUUAUUGACAACUACUUUCAAGAAUUAUUUUAAAAUUAUUUUUAUAAACAUUAUUUAACCAACCCUUAUUAUUAAUUUUACUUGUUUUCGUGUUACUUAAGAUAAUUAAUAGUGCAGAACCCAUGACUUUGGUGGUUGGUGGCAAAGUUGUUUUCGUAUUGUUACUUAAUACAAUUAGUCAUGAUCAUUGUUUUCGUCUGAAUGGGACAAAGUUGGUAUUUCAGAAUUUUCCAUAAAAAGCACAAAAAUAUAUUUUGUAAAAAGUUGAAAAUAGGAUACGAACAACCCCUUGUAGCAUACUUUUUCUCAACAAAAAGAAAUUUAAUAAUAAUAAUAAAAAAUAAUUAUAGAUUUAAAAAAAAAAUAUUUUUCAAAACAAAUGCAAUCGAAAAUUUAUUUCUUCGAAUGGUAUGUAUAUCUUGAUUAAAUAAAUAAAUUAUGGAAAGACUUAUGUAUUUUUAACUUAUUUAUAAAUAGAAAAACUGAUGAAUAAAUUUUAAGAUGUGUAAAAAUUUGAUCAAGUUAAUUUAAACUUUUUUAUUUUUUCACUUUCUUUCUCCUAUUUUUUUCACUUGUCAAACCCAAGAGUCCACCACAUGAAUAACCUUAACUUACAAAUCCAAAAAGUAAUUAGUUGACAACUUUCUCAAAUUGAUUCAUAACAAUAAUUAGAGCAUAAAUAUAUAUAUAAAUUUCUAAUCCAAAACUAAUUAAAAAUAUCUAAAUAGUAAAUUCAAAGAUCAUCCCCAACACUUUGAAGAGUUUUAGAAAUCAAUACUAAAUUCAAUCUUAAUUUAAAACUCCUAAAUAAUUAAUUGCAAAGCAGAUUUCAAAUGAAACACCCUUCUUAUCUUAAUUUCCCCUCAUUAAUAUCACUUAUAUCUAAAAAAGGGAAAUAAUAGAGAAGAGUGAACUUAAAACUCAGUUGGGAAAAAUAGUUCAAUGAGGAGGAUCAAGUAUAGUAUAAAGCUAAAUCCUAGGGCAUAUCACAUCUUUAUAAAAAAUAAAAAAAUGAUAAGUAGGAGUUCAUUUAAUUCAAUAAUUAAAUUCACUUUCUUUAAAAUAUUAUGCACUAGAAGUUCAUUUAAUUCAAUAAUUAAAUUCACUUUCUUCAAAAAAUAUUCGAACUAGAGGCUUGAAUUGAACCUUGGCUACCACUUGGCUAAGUUGUUAUUUAUAAAGAUAUGUUUAAUUUAAAUAUCUUAAAAUUCACUAUUUUAAAAAAAAAUUCUAAUUAUUUUAUUUUAAAAUUUAUUUAAUUGAUUAAUAAAAAUAUAAAAACCAACAUAAUAAUUUUUCUUAAAAAGUCUUUUUUAUAUCAUUUAUAUGAUAAUUAAAUACAAAAAAUAUAAAUAUUAAAAAAUCAUAGAUGCAUCAUAAUUUAUUUUACAUUAUUAAACACAUUUAAAUUAAAUAGAUUAUAAUUAUAAUAUUAAAUGUAUUAUCAUUUAUCUCAUUAAUUCUAUUUUUUUUAAAAUAACUAUCACUUCACUUUUAAAUUUUUUAUAUUUAUCCUUUUAAUUUUGCAUGUCUUUAUUUUAAAAUAUUAAAAAUAUAAAUUUAUUCAAAAAAUACUAAAAUAUAAAAAAAAAUUGAUAAUGAAGUUCUAAUACUUUAUAAAUUAAAAUUAAUUUGAUAAGAUAAAUAAUAAAUCAUAUAUUAAGACUGAUAUAACCUUGCUUACGGAUAUUUUCCUCAUUAACCAUACCUAUGUCAAUUAUGCUUAUAAAAUAACUUUAAUAUGUAUAUUUUUACUUAUUUUUAUCAUUUUUUUUUUGGAGUUUUCAAAAUAUUUCUAUGAAUUUUGAAUAAAUAAUUUUCACCUUACCGAAUUGUUGUCAAAAUAUCAAUCGAUAUUCUGAUAUUUCUAAUAUAUCCGUAAAAUUUAUGUAUCGAUGUUUUCCGAUAUUUUAAUCCUAGAGUUUAGACUAAUAACACCCUUAUUAGUUAGACUUACAUUAUAUCACUAUCCUCACCAAAGGUAACUAAGGUUAACAACUUCUCUCUUGUUGACUAGGUCCACUAAUAACUAGAGUUUCAAAAUUUAGGGAAUUUAAACAUUUUGAUAGUUUAAAAAUAGAUGAAAAAAAUAAGGAAUUUGUAUGGCUUACCGUACCAUUAACCCCUACCUUGAAGAUAUCAUUCAAAAUCCUGAAAGAUUUAGUCUACUCCUAAUAUAAAUAUAAAUAAAAAAUAAUUAUUAAAGACUAAUUAUCUAAAUUAAUGUCUUCCUAAAUUUUUUGUAAAACUUAUUUUAAUUCCAAACUCUCUUCUAAAAAUCUACAUUUUUUAAUUAAUUUUUUUAUUAACCACCCACCCAACUCCAACAAUAUUUAAGUAAUUAAUAAAGUAAAUGAUUGAAUUACAAUGAACAAGUAUAAUGAUCAAAAUAAAAAUUUUACUGUUUUUUGUUUUAAUAUAAAAUCAGACCUCUAAUUGAACAAAUCAUUUACUGUUUAAAAAUAUUCUUAAUAUCUUCUUUUUCUUUUUGUGUUUUUAAAAGUUCAUUUUUAUUUUAACUAGAUCAAAUAAUAUUUGUAUAAUAAUGCCUUUAACAUACAUUUUUUUUUAAUCAAUAAUACCAAAUAAACAUCUCAACAAAUAUUAUAUAAGAUGAUCAUUAAUUUCACUAUCUUCAUUUUAUUUAUGUUAUUCUUCUUUAUUCAGUGGAUUUAAUUAUGUGUUGUAAAAUGAACAAGGACCUCUAUAGUUAUAAUCUCACCUAAAAAGUUGGAGAAGUUAUCUCUACAUUUAUGGUUCAUGCAUGAAAUAAAUUGUUUUUGUACUUCCAUCAUCAAAGAUGCAUGUAUGUCUAUCAAUGGCAAAAGAAUCUAUGAGUUCAAGAAAAAAAUGAAAAAAAUUUAUAUGUUUUUUUAAUUCAUUUCAUUUUUUUAUUUUUCUAUUCUAUAUAAAAAUUCAAUAUAUAUAACUUUUUAACUAAUUUUAAUUAUAUUUUUGUUUCAUAUUUUCUAUAAUAAAUCAAAAAUUAAAAAAAGAAGACAUUUUUUAAUAUUUCAACCAUAAUAAGGUGGGCAUAAUUAAUUUUUAAUGCUAGGAUAUCCUAACAACCUAACCUUAAAAUUUUCUUAAAUAAAUAAUCACUUUACUAGUCAUAUAUUUUUUUACUCCACCCUAUUGUGAUUGGCACCAUAGUAUUUGUUAUACUUCGAAGCAUUUUGGUAUGAUUCUUAUCUCAUAAUAAGUCAUUUUUGAAGCAAACCCAACAUGCUUGAUAGAAAUCCUCUUCCUAAAUGAACCCCUAGGUUUCUUAUUUAUGAGUGUUGGUACAUUAAGUUAUAUAGUUUAAGAUUGAUAAUUUUGUUUCAUUCAUUUUGACUUAGGGCUUUUUUAGAUUAUGUCUCGCUCUCCUUUGAAAACUCGAAGUUGUUGUGUGAUCAACUGGAAUAACAAAGGUAAGUAUCGAAAGGUCUAGAAAGGCAAAUUAGAGUUAGUUAAGGUUGGCACGAACGUCAAGUUCUUAAACCGAGUUAAAUGUUUAUUAAAAUAGUUUUAAAGAACUCCUUGAGUGCUUUAAUGAUGCAGAGAGCACUUAAGCACUCCUUGGAGCACUCAAGUGUGAUAGAAUUCUUUAGAAUUUCAAAGCUUUGAUUUUCCAACUUUUACAAGCUUUAUUUUUGGAAAAUUCUAAAUCCAAUCCACUAGGAUCUUGGCCUAAUAAAUACCUUGCCUAAUGAGGAUUUUCUCUUUUUGAUGUUAAUGUUUCAAAAAACCUAGUUUGUCAUCUUGUUCCCAAAACUUUGAAAGAUGAUUGUCUUCACUUUUACUAGGUUGAGAAAGAGAUUUGCAUCUCAACAAAUACUAAAUUAAGUAAGAUUCACGAGGAGCAUAAGUGGUGUUGUGCUACAAAUGUGAAGUAUAGUAGAGGUGAUAGUGAGCUCAUGACCUAGAGUCGUUUGCAUCCUUCACAUCCCUGAGAUGCUUCAUUUUCAUUAUUCUAGCCACUUGCGAGUGGCCUCAACCCGACACUAUGAGCCGGAAAGCAUCCUGAUCGGCUAUCCAUUUAAAGCCAUAAUCUCAUGACCUAGAGUUGUUCUUUUUAUUUAUGACCCAGAGUCAUUCUUUCCAUUUAGAGCCCUGGGCUCAGGACCUGGAGUUGUUCUUCUCAUUUAUGACCUAGAGUCAUUCUUUCCAUUUAAAGCCUUGAGCUCACGACCUAGAGUCAUUUUUCUCAUUUAUGACCCAGAGUCAUAUCUUUUCCAUUUAGAGCCAUGAGCUCAUGACCUAGAGUCAUUUCUCUUCCAUUUAGAGCCUUGAGCUCACGACCUAGAGUCGUUUUUCUCAUUUAUGACCCAAAGUAAUUUCUUUUCCAUUUAGAGCCCUGAGCUCACGACCUAGAUUCGUUUUUCUCAUUUAUGACCCAGAGUCAUUUCUUUCUAUUUAGAGCCCUGAGCUCACAACCCAGAGUUAUUCAUCUCAUCCAUGACCUUGAGUCAUUUUUUUCAUCCCUUUCCAUCUUUGUGCUACUCAUCACAAACCUUUCUCUCUUUACUGUCAUCCCCCCUCAUAGAGUUGUUCCAUCCUUGUUGUUGUAGCCUCGUGUUUCGAUCUUACUCUCAUCAUGUGCUAGGACAAAAUCUCUGGUCCUUUUUUAGUUCUUUGGUAUAGUUCACUUCGUUCCACUCAUUAUUCAUAUUUCAACUCACAUUCUCUACACUCGUGAUCUUUACUGAAGAGGGGAAUAUUUGUAGACCCUCCAUUUUGUCCCUUUAGCGCAUGUCUUUAAGUUCACUUCCAGUGUUCCAUAGUGGUUCUUUGAUGACCCAUUACUACUUAUGUAACUUAUUUUUUUUGAGCCACUUUGAGGACUUUGGUUGAAGGGUUUAUCUAACUUCACAUUAUGACCUUAGCUGUCAUUCAAGUUUAGAUUAGACUUCACUUAGGUGCACUUUAGGUUAGACUUAGCUAGGCUCACCUAGUCUCACCCUAGGGUCGUAUAGAUAUACCCAACCCAUUAGGCACCAUCUUAGGUCCACUUAGACACUUUAGGCCUGUCUAGGUUCACUUAGGCCCAUUUAAACACCUUAGACCCAUCUAGGUUCACUUAGGCCCAUUUAGACACUUUAGGCCAAUUUAGGUUCAUUUAGGUCCACUUAGGCAUAGUUGGCCUACUAGACAUUUUUAGCGUGACUUGUAUGAUUGCAUGGAUCAUUUAUCUCAUUUACUUAUUUAUUUAUUUUUAUUUAUUUUAUUAUUAUUAUCAAUCACUUAUUUAAUCAUUUAUUAUAUUUUUAUUUGUUUAUUUAUUUUAAUUUAUUUUUCAUUGUUAUCAAUCACUUUUAUUCAUUGAGUUAUUUAUUAUUUGUUUAUUAUCUUGUUGUUUAUUCGUUUAUUUAUUAUUAUUAUUAUUUUAUCAUUCUCUAAUUUAUUUAUCUAUUUAUUUAUUUAUUUAUUUAUUAUUCCUUUAUUUAAUUUGAUAAUUUGAUGUUUUUAUGGGAAAACUGCAAUCGGAGGAAAAAGAAUUUUGAAAUUGGUAAGAAUUUGAAAAGGAAAGGAACUCUUCAAAGAUGGGACUCUUUACGUCAUAUGCAUGGAUUCACUUUUGAAAUUUUGAAAGAAUUUUUCUGGUGGAUGAGAUAGAAUUUGGCAAAGAGGAGUCCUCAGUUGGGACGACUCCAAUUGCUAUAAAAAGCAUAAACUGGUGGUUUUGAAGGGGGAGGGGAUUUUCUGGAGAUUGUUUUUCAGAGGGAGAAAGGAAUGAAGCCAGAAGGAGAGAUCUGAGACCACACACGAGUGGGGAUUUUCCUGCUGGAAGGAGGGCUUUGCCAGAUACGUUUGUUAUAGAUUCCUUCAUCCCCAUUAUCCUCUUGUUAUCAAUUGAUCUUCACUGGAUUUCGAGUUUUGCCUGGAUCCUUGGGUUUAGAAAGGCGGAGGUUGUACGUUUGUUGGCAUUGGUGCUAGAUUGCUUAUAUGAUUCUUGUUGUCGACUUUCUUUUUUUUUCUAUGGAGUUCCUUAGUUUUGGUUUGAGAAUAAAAGGUUCCUUUCUUUUUAUUAUAUACUGUGCUUUACAUCAGAAUCGUGGUUGUCUUUGUUUGCUUGAAUCUUCUUGUGCUUUUUCUCACCAUUCCAAGCCCGUUGAAUAAUCAUGAAAUGUGGCAUUACCAUGUUCUUGUUUUUACUUGAUCUCUCCUCCUCUCUGUUUCAUUCAUUUCUCGUUUCCGCACCUUCCCCUGUUUUUCUUGUUCUGGCAGUCCACUAAAAGUGCUAACCUAGCCUCCUUGCUUAAGACGGCCAUCCCUAUGGUUAUAUAUGGCUACAAAGAUCAAGCAGAAUAGAGAUUUGAAUUUGCUUCAAACUCUCCCACUUGCCAAUCUCGGAACGUAUGCGGUAAUGGAGUUCUACUAGGGUCAAAUUUUCAGAAACAACAACAGCCAGGCUUUCCACAUGAGGAGCAAUAGUAUUGAUGCACAUUAGGGAAUGACUCAAUACCUGGAGAAGUUAGUCAUUGAUUUAUCAGGGCUGGUGACUGGACCGGAUUGCUGUCGCUAGGUCUGGUAAAGCAUUGGCAUUUGGAAUUUCUUUCUCUGCCUGGUGAUGCCUUUGGUUCCAGCAGCUCAAAAGACGCAGGGGUUUGUGAUAAUGAAAAGAACGUUUUCUGCUUAAAUGGGAAGUCAUCGACCUUACUGAAUGGAAUUGGAUAAAGGAGAAGGAACUCCAAGAAACUUGGGAGUAAUGUGCAUGGAAACUUCAUUUUUCUUGCAAAGUCGUGGUUCCUAUAAAAUCAUAUGAAGCUUCAGGUUCGCUUUCAGGUGACGCGAUAUGAUUCUACAUAUCGCAAUGCAGAACGGUAUGGCAAUGCAGAACGGUUUUGUUUGAAACUGGGCGAGCAGGUCUACCAGUGAUGAUAGCAAACCCGAGAGUAGCUACACGUACAUGCAGAUUCUACAUGCAUGGUUAUCUUUUGGUGUGCCCCCACACAUGCAUGUGUCACAAUCAGGGUGAAGAAAAAAUGUUUCCAUGGAGACAGAGAUAGGUGGCAGUGAAAUAAGGAGAAGGUAGCUGUUGGUGAUGUUACAUAUGUUGAAGCCCAUUGUGGAGCAGUUAAAAGGGUGGGCAGAAGUGAUGCUUUUGCUACAGAAUUUGACCUUGAGGCGGAAGAGUAUGUUCCACUUCUUAAAUGAGAGGUUCACAAAAAAAAAGGAGAUGGUUCAGGAUGUAACACUUCAUGACCUGGAUAUUGCAAAUGCACGGCCUCAAGGUGGACAAUAUAUUGUCCCUAAUGGGUCAGAUGAUGAAGCCCAGGAAAACAAAAAUCACUGAUAGGUUACAAUAGGAAAUUAACAAGGUUGUUAACCGUUACAUUAAUGAAGAUGUGGCAGAGCUUGUUCUUGGGGACCUAUUUAUUAAUGAGGUACACAUGUUGGAUAUGGAGUGUUUUUCAUAUUUGAAUCGUGCUCUAGAUACCUGACUGUCUCCAAAUGUAAUUUUUGCUGGAAAUAGGGGAAUAUAUAAUGUAAGAGGAACCGAUGUGAGUAUUCCUCGUGGCAUACCUGCUGACUUGUUGGACUGGUCGGUGAUUGUACGGACGAAAACUUAUGAUCCUGCUGAUAUGAUUCAGAUUUUGACGAUUCGUGCACAGGUGGAGAUGAAUAAGUGGUUUUGAAGAGUGACCCUUCAAUGCAGUCCUAAGGAUGGUUGUUGGGAAGAGAUAGUUUGUUAAUGGGGUCCACGCAAAUGAAGAAGCAAGACAUGUCAUAGCAGGCUUUACGCAGUUCGUACAUCUCCUCGAGGCCCGUGUUCCAUCUGAUGUCUUUCCAUUUGUAGAGUGGAUAGAUUUGGACGGCUAUUUGAAGUCUAUGAAGCGUGUAGCCAAGCGGGUGGACAGUCUACAAGGUUGGGUAGAAGAACAUGUUAUGAAACCUAAGAGUGACCCCAGCAGCGGGUAGGACUUCAUUGAUGUGAUACUGUCUAUUCUCAAAGACGAUUCCGCGUUUAGCCAUACAAGGGAAACUAUUAUCAAAGCAACAGUAGUGAAUCAACAUUGGCAGGGUCAGUAAGCGUGGUUGUUCUUUAUCUAUUUCCCAGAUGAAGAUUAUUGAUGAACCUGUUGAGAAGCUUUUCCUUUGGGGUUAUAUAAUGCAUCGAGAUAUUGUAAAGGAGUGGACGCUUAUAGUUUGGGCCUUGUGGAUGUUAUAGUUGCUCCAGAUCAGUUAGUAAAGACUGCUCGCCAACUAGAUAUUUUAGAGUGUAGAAGACCAUGGGUUUAUAAUCUUUACAAGACUGGCAAGUUGGAGCCCCUAGGGAAAGCAAGGGAGAUGCUCAAGUUUGCAAGAACUCAGGCACAGAAACAGGCACUAAAUUUGACGCACCCAUUAGUUUGCAUUGAUGUUAUUGAAGCGGGUAUAGUUUCUGGUCCUGUUGCUGGACUUUGGAAGGAGGCUGAGGCUUUUCAAGAACUUCUACGCUCUGGCAUUUGCAAGUCCUUGGUCCACAUCUUCUUCGCUCAAUGAGGAACCACAAAGGUUCUUGGGAUCACUGAUCUGGGUUUGGUACCAAGACGAAUAAACAAAGUAGCUAUUCUUGGAGGAUUGAUGGGAUCUGGAAUAGCAACAGCAUUGAUACUUAGUAAUUAUCCGGUGAUCCUGAAGAAAGUAAAUGAAAAGUUCUUACAAGCUGGGAUUGGUAGAGUCCGAGCUAAUUUGCAAAGCCGUGUCAAGAAAGAGGCAAUGACAAUCGAAACUGAUGCUACUUCUGCAAGUGUUUCAGCAAGUUCCUAGAAUGAAUUAAGCUUACCCUCUAUAGAGGCAAUUGAAAUGGAAACAAGCAAGCAGACAAAUUGUUCUGCUAGUGUCUCCAAGAGUUAUCAACACUCCCCAAGCUCAUCCUAUGAGAAGGCAAUGACAAUAGACGCAACUGGCCUUUCACCAGGUUGUAGUGAUUGUCAGUCUAUGAUCAACUCGGUGAAGCAGCAAAGAAACAAGAACUUAUCAAUUACAGACCUGUUUUCCAAGUAUAAGAGUUCUCAACAUGCUCAAAGCUCAGCAUAUGAGGAGACAAUGUAAGAUAGCGGUGGUUCUUCUAAUGAUGGUCCAUCUAUGGGCAGCGUGUGACAGCAAUGUGAAACCUUAGCAAAAUAGUCAACUGAUUAUCUUGAAGUAAGCGAUCUAGAAUUCAAGGAUUUCACUAAAAAGUAGAAUUGUGAGCAGAAAUCCAGCUACAGCUAAAGGUAAUGGCGUCAGAAGUCCAACUGGAAACAUCAGCAGAAUAUCCAGUAAGAGAUAUUAUUGAUAUGGUUGCUGGAUUGCCUCAAACCCUAUGAAGACAGGGCACAUAUGCAUUUGCCACUCUAACGGGAGAUGUCUCUUACAGUGAAGAAGUUUGGAAAAUCCUUCUCAUGACUGUGCGAACUAGUAAGGAUGACGUUGAAACUGAUUCUUCCUCAGGAUUUGAAAUUGAUUCUUAUGAAGACUUGCUCGCACCACUGUCCAAAACCAAAACUGCCUUGCUUGAAAUCAAAACUGCAUUAAUGGAACACUGAAGUCUAUCUAGACAGUCACGGUUAGAAUGUACUGGUUGUGUCUUUCCUCCCAGGCAUUAGCAUGCAACGGCAGUUCUAGGUUCAAAGAUACAUGUAUUUGGUGGACUUGACAAUGAUGCAAUCUCUCCAUCCUUGCGUGUCCUUGACACGGGCGAUUUGCAGUGAAAUGAGAUACGUGUCCAUGGGGAAUGGCCUUGUGCUCGUCAUUCUCACUCAUUGGUUGCCUAUGGGUCUAAAUUAUUUAUGAUUGGGGGUGCAAUGAUGGCAAAGCUCGUGGGGAUCUGUACGGUUUUGAUGUUCAAACACGUCCAUGAAAAAAAUGAAGUGGCAUCAGAAGAACUCCAUAUACAAGGUUCUCCCACUUAAUAUUUAUCUACAAAAAUUAUCUUGGCAUUAUUGGGAGUGGUUCUUUCUUAAGUCCAUCAUCAUAUUCAGCGGCAAACAUGGUCAGGUAGUGAUGAUGUGGACCUGCAUUUCUCACGUGCGUCCCCACUUGAUCGGGCAAGACUCACUUUAAAUUGGUGAAAAAAUUGGUUUUGGAAAAGUCGAAGUCGCCACUUAUUUUAUUUUAUUUUAAAGGGAAAAUAAAACAAUAAAUAAAACCCUAAAAACAUGACUUCAUAGUUUUUGGAAAAACGUGUCUUUGAAAAACCCGAGUCUAGGUCCGAGGAUCAGGUUACCUAUUAGGAAGACACCUCUAAAAGGUAGCACCCCUCUAAGCCCUACAAAGGUCUCUACUGACUAAGUUGAGAUAAAUAUGAUAAUUAAUUAAUUAAUUGAAGAUAUCUACUAAGGUGAUUUCAAAAAAAUAGCAUGUCAAACAAGAUUAAAUUACAAUAAAGGAGAGUUAGGAUGCAUACACGAACCACUUCUCAAGCGCUAUGAUAAAACAUCAGAAUUAGUAUAGAAAUAUAACACACGGCAUAUAUUUAAUCAUAGCGAAUCAAGCACACAUCUAAGCAUCUAAGGAUCAUAUCAAGCAUAAAUAAGGCUCACGACAGCAUGCAUGUUCAUGGAAUUCCAAAAAGUAAUGAUAUAGAGCGUACCUGGAUAGCAUGCAUAAUUUAUAUGAUUUCUCCAAAAAUGCUAGAGUGAUUAGGACAAGUAUGAAUUAUAUAACAUAGUCAUUAUGUCCAAUACACAGUACCAAAGCCAAAAUUGAGCCAAGGUAAGUCAAAUGACUCUAAAAAUAAAUAACCAAUUCAAGUAAUGUAUACAAGAUCAUCAGUAUGCAAUUUGAAAAGGGAGCAUCAAAAAAACAAUUUCUAAAAAAAUGGCUUAGAAUGGAAUUUAAUAAUGAAAAACAUCAGGAAACAACUCCUACACAUCUAGAUCAACAUACCAAAGGCCAAACUCUCAUUCAAAGGACAUAUUGCAACGAAGACACCUAAAGGUUCUACAAAGUCUAGAUUAGAUAAGAAAAACUGACAUGCAUAAAUAAAUUUUUAAAAAAUAAUAAAUGAUCACAUAAAAUCAUACAAAAAAUCACACACGGAGUUCAAAGUGUCUAUAUCACAUAAAAAAAGAAUCCAGGGUCGGAUAGUACUCAAAAAUACUUUUAAAACACUCAAGCUAAUCAAAUGUCUAGAAUCAAGCAUGCACAGUAGGAACGAAUUUGAAAAAAAAAAAUCUCCAUCAAAGAGGCAUGUUUUUUAAUAUUUUAUGUGUCUAAGAUCAAUUUCAAAAAGCCUAGAAUUGAGAAAAAAAUAUUUAAUCAAAUUUAAAAAGUCGUCUGGAAUUUUAUUUUUUCAAAAAAGUUCUCAGGUGUCCAUAACUAGGAGAAAACGGAGCCCCCCUAAAGACUCGUUUAUAUAUUCUAUUCUAAAAUGGCUUUUUAACUCAAACAAAACUUUAAAUUCAAGUUCAAGAAGUGAGGAAAGUCAUACAAGUUUUGGAAAAUUUUUAAAAACAUUCUAAAGUUGCUAAAACAAAUUUUAUCUAGAGGGUCAGUGGCUAAGUGUAAACUAGUAGCAAGGAAGUGUUUUGGAAAUUUUAUAUAGGGGUUUCACCAAUUCCCCAAGUGAUAUACACAAAUUUAGCCUAAAAUUAUCCUAUUUGUUUGGGAUCACAAGCUUGGAUUCGUGUCUUAUUCAAAACCAUAAUUUUUAUUGAAAACCGAGAAAGAUGCAAACCGAUCAAGACAUAGUUGCAUAUUAUUUAAAAAAAAAAUGAGAUUUUGAUUCUAAGGACUCUAAAUGAAUUAUUUUUAAAAUAGAAUUUUCAAAGGGAUCUUUUGAGAAAAGUAUUUUAUUUUAAAAUAAAAGAAAUUAAUUUGAAAACAAUCAAAAUAUAAGAAACAAAAUAUCGAGCAAAACAAAAGAAAACGAAUUCACAAAGUGAAAUUUUUGACAAUCGAACAAACCAAAGUGGUGAAAAUGGAAGCCAAUUUUAACUAUUUUCCAAUGACCCCUGAAAAGUAAUUUUUACCAGAGACUACCAAAGCAAUAAACUAUUCAAACUCAGGCCAAAUAAGCUAAUGAGAUACUCAUCAAGAAUUAAUGACUAAUUUUCAAGAAACACGUAAAUUAAGAGUAACAAUCAAGAAUUAGCAAUGAUCAAUUAAACACACAAAUGCAUCUAGAUUGAUUAAAAUGGACCAAAUUAAAUCAGGGCAAACAGGAAUUUUCAAUCAUAGAAUUAAUUUUAUUAAUGAGCUAAUAUUAUAGCAAAUACUCAAAUUGAAUAGAUGAGUGAAGCUAAAUCAGAGUAAACUAAACACAGACACCUUCAAAUAUAGAAUUGAUUUAUUAAUAACUUAAAAUUUGAAAAACACCUAAAAUAAUUAAAAUGAAUCAAAUUAAAUGAAAGCAAACUAAAAACAAAAUAUGAAUUCAUGGAAUCAACUUCCUAAAUAAAUUUACAUUAUUAAAAUGAAAUCUAAGAUCAAAAUGAAUUAAACACUAAUUAAGGCAAAUCUAAAAAUCAAAUAUUUAACACAUGAGGUCAAUUAUUUUAACAAACUAAAAUUUUACUUAAACCUAAAAUUAAAUUGAAAAAACUAUCCAAAACAAAUUUUAAAACUAAACUAUAAAGUCAAUCUCAUUAACAAAUGGAUAAAUAGAUAGCACAUGAAUAAAUAAGUAUGACUGAAUCGAAAUAUGAACUCAUGGAAUCAAUUUUUUUUAAAUAAAUUUACAUUACUAAAAUGAAAUUGAAAUUUAAAAAUAUUUUUAACACCAAUUAUGGCAAUCCUAAAAUCAAAUAUUUAACACUUAAUAUUAACUAUUUUAAUGAACAGAAAUUUCACUUAAACCAAAAAUUAAAUUAAAGAAAAACUAUCUAAGACAAAUUUUAAAACUAUGUCUCUAACCAAUAACAUAAAUCUUGUUAAAUAAUGGAUAAAUAGUUAGCAUAUAGAUAAAUAGAUCUCAAGUUUAACAAUGACUUAUAAUGGCAUAACAGUAAAUCCAUAAAGAACUUUUAAUAUAUAGUAUUGAUGGAUUAAAAAAAUAAGAGGAGAGAAAGUGGCAGCCGCAUGGACUGCAUGAGGAGGGUUGACGUCUCAUAGUCACCUUCUUUCCUCCAUUGAUAGUAGCCCACAAGGCCACCUUAAGUGGGCGACACAAUAAGACUGCCAUGCACGCAUGACGCAGCCACGUGGGAGAAGGCAGCAACCACUUUCGCAUUUUUACUGUAUCUCCAGAAACUCCUUUGUAUAGCCCACACACGCGCUAAUGAAGCAGAUUCAGCAGAUUUUAAGAGGGGGAAUCUUGAAACCACACAACAUCAAGAGACUUGGCCGGAAGUGUGAUGAUGGGUGUUUCCGAAGAAGAGUUAUAAUUCGCCCACUGUUGAAUAUGUUCAAAGAUGUGAAGGGUCCCACGAGCCUUGAAUUUGUCACUACAUACAAAAUAUAUGCAGAAGUGAUUGAAAAUGCUUGGCAACCUUUUCCUGCAUGUGAAUGUGUUGAGCUCUAUGGUGCAAUUACUAAUGAAAUUCUCAAUUUAGUUGAUAAGUAUUUUGAGAUGCAAAAGCAUGAUGCUGUCCGGGCAUUGGAAAUUUAUCAGAAAGCAGGAGAGCCAUCAAGCAUUCACUCGACAAGCAAGAGUAACACAUAGGCCACACCAUUCUCCAACAAGACACAACAACAUACAUUCUUGAAGGUAAGUCCCAUUUUAAAAAAAAAUUUUAGUUUAAUUUUAAUUAAUUUAGUUAGUUUAGAUGUUUUUUUUUUUCAUAAUUAGUUUAAUUAAUUCUACAUGAUAAAGUUGUUAUUUUUCAUUUCGAUUUAGUUUAGUGUUGAUUUUUCUUUUAGUUUAAGUGUGUUUGUGGUUUUAAUUCAAUAGUUUAAUUAAUCUUAUUAGAUAAAGUUCAUACAUAAUUUUUUUUUUAUCCCAAAUUAGUUUAGUUUUAAUCCAUCUUUUAGUUUAAUUGUGUUAGUAAUUUUAAUUCAGUAGUUUAAAUAAUCAUAUUAGAUAAAGUUCGUAUUUUUAAUUCUAAUUAGUUUCAUCUUAAUUUAUUCUUUAGUUUAGAUUUGUUGUUGAUUGUACUUUAUUAGUUUAAUUAAUCUUAUUAGAUAAAGUCUAAUUUCAAUUUAGUUUAGUUUUAAUUUAUUCUAUAGUUUGAGUAUUUUUGCGAUUUUAAUUCAAUUGUUUAAUUAAACCUCUUAGGUAAAGAUCUUGUUUUUAAUUCCGAUUUAGUUUAGUUUUAAUUUAUUUAUUUAUUUUAGUUUAGAUGUAUUUGUAAUUUUAAUUCAACAGUUAAAUCGAUCUUAUUAGAUAAAGUUGAUGUUUUUAAUUCCAAUUUAGUUUUUAGUUUAAAUGUGUUUGUGUGUUUAAUUGACCUUAUGCUAGCUCAUGAUUUUUUAUUUUCAAUUUAGGUGUUUUCUUGAAUCUUAAUCAUUAAUUCUUGGUGGAUAUCUCAUUAGUUUAUUUUAUCUAAGUUUUAAUAAUUUAUUAUUUUGAUAGUCUUUUGUCAAAUUUACUUUUCAGAAGCCAUCGGAAAAUAGUGAAGAUUGACCUCCAUUCUCACCACAUUAGUUUGUUUGGUUGUCAAAAAUUUUACUUAGUGAUUUUGUUUACUUUUGAUUUGCUUGUUUCUUAUGUUUUGAUUGUUUUCAAACUAAUUUAUUUUAUUUUAAAAUAAAUAUUUUUCUCAAAAGAUCCAUUUGAAAAUUCUAUUUUAAAAAUAAUUCAUUUAGAGUCCUUAGAAUAAAAAUCUCAUUUUUUUAAUAAUAUACAACCAUGUCUUGAUCGGUUUGCAUCUUUUUCAGUUUUCUGUAAAAAUUUUGAUUUUGAAUGGAAUAUGAAUCCAAGCUUGUGGUCCCAAACAAAUUGGAUAAUUCUGGGCUAGAUUUGUGUAUAUCAAUUGAGGAAUUGGUGGAACCCCUUUAUAAGAAAAUUCUUCAAAACUCAUCUUUGCUGCCAUCUUUGCUAUUUCAUGCUAUCAUGUCUCUUCAUUUUUUAGGAAUUAUAUACAAGAUGUAUGUGAUAAUUGAUGAUUUCGUAUACUUUGAUCAUUUUUGCUAGGUUAAUUAGAUAACAAGCACGUUAGGAUUUCUUUAUUUUAUUAUUUAUUAUCUAACCCCUCAUGUCUUGUGGAAGCACGUUACAAGUUAUCUAUGCUAUCCAAGUAUGCCCUCUAUCACCCACCUUCUAAAUUUUGUGAAUAUGCUGGUCACUGUGAACUGCACUUAUGUUUGAUAGUGCUUGGGUGUCUUGAUAUUUGUUUCAUUGUUCAAUUUUUUCUGAUAAAGCGCAUGCUGAACGAUAUACUAUUUGAACUAACUUUGAUGUCUUGCAAUGACGCUUAAGAAGCAAUCCAGGUACAUACCCUAAAUCUUCUUUAUGAUUAUGAUUUGUUUUUCUUAUUUGGCAUGCUAAUUUUGAAAUCACCUAGCCUACCUAGGUAUCUAUGAUCAACCAAUUAAUUGUCACAUUUCUCUCAACUUAGCUAGUAGAGACCUUUUUAGGGCUUAGAGGGGUGUUACCUCUUAAAGGUACCUUCCCAGUAGAUAACCUGAUUCCCAAACCAAGACUUGGGUUUUCGAGAUAUGCUAUUCAAAAAUUGUGGAGUCACUUCUUUAGGGUUUUUAUUUUUAUUUUUUUUAUUUUCCUUUUAAAAUAAAAUAAAAUAAGUGGCAACUCCAACUUUUCCAAAACUAAUUUUUCACCAAUAAAAGCGAGUAUUACUGAUUGAGUGGGGACGCACGUGAAAAAUGUGGGUCCUCAGUAUAUAUAAGGCAACCUAAAGGAUUUAUUGUUAUAAGACAAAAACACAAAGUUAAGGAUAGAUACAUUUAGCUAGGUUGAUUUUUAACCAAUCCAAGAAUCAAAUAGGAGUUCAUUGGUUUUAAAUAAAGUACAACAAAUUUAUUUAUUUACUCAAACUCAAAAAUAUUGAGUUUGUAUGUUUUUUUUUUUCACAUUGACCGUACAACCGAAAUGAUCAAAUUCUAUAUAUAUAUAUAUUUACAAGUAAUACAAUUACAAUUUUUUAAAAUAAUAUUGGGCGCUUGUGACUUGAAAUUAUAUUAUCAUCAUUAUUAAGUCCCAAAAUACAAUGAUUUUAAAUUUUAGAUCAGGCUUAUGCCAUAAGCAACUUUUAAUUUGUAAUAAAGCCAUACGAGUUAGACUCUAAGCCUCUAACAUCAAACUGUAGCCCAGCUAAGUUGCCUUUGGAUGAGCAUGGUUCGACUCACAAAGUCCUAAGAUUCUCCACAACACUCCAAAAUCCAAACAAUUAUAUUUGUCCGACUCCUCUACUACUUGGGUUUGUUUGCCAGUCCACUUUUGGUAAGUGAUCUAGGUUGAAUAUUCCAUAAGCCAAAUACAUAAACUAGUUUGAUCUCUAGUUUCAUUGUACCACCAAAAUAGAGAAAUUCAAGUAAGAAGACUUCUAAAGAGAAUAGUUUAGAGAGCUACUACAAAAGAGGAUUGGAGAUGGUUGGAGUAAUGGUGGUAGCUAUUGAAAGGAUCGAUGGUGGCGGGAAGCCAUAGCCGCUGGUGAAGAGGAAGUUAGGUGAAUUGGAGACUUGGUGAAGAAGAUAAUGUGAGCUUGAUAAAAUUUCCUCAAACUUUUCCUUCUCUCUCUUAUUUUCCCCACUAAUUUUUAAGGAAAGUAGUAGGGAAAAUAUUACAAUAUUUUCUUUAGUAUUUUCCUUUAUUUUUCCUUCCAUCGUAUUUUUCAUGUCACCCAAACUAAGGAAAAUGACUUUCCACAAUAUUUUUUUUCCUUUCCCUUGCAUUUUCUGUAACAAAGUUCUAUAAUCACUCCAAUCCGCGUUUAAAAAUUGUAUUUCUUUCUAAUAUGGGAACAAACUUUUUCCUUCUUUCUUAUAAUUUUCAUUUGGGAAUAAUUUAAAAUUAAAUAAAUAAAAGCCCUUCUAAAUAUUAAAAAAACACUCUCUUAUAGAUUAGUCCGAAAAAACUUGGCCCACUCUAGACAUUCUCAUUCUCUCCUUCCUCUAUUUGAUGUGAUGGAUCAUGGGUGGUUCUAUAUGACAAGAUUAAUCAACUAAUUUAUGGAUUUGAGAGUGACCCUAAACUAAAUGUGGAGCACAUAUUAGAUUACAAUCUUAUAAUAUUUACUUAAUGGUAUCUAAAUUUCCCAUCCAAGGCCUAAAUUGGCUUUGGAAAGACGAUAACCCAAAACAUGAAUGAAAAAGACCCAAAAUAUUGAUGAAAUAAGAAUGAUAAUAAGAUGAAUUUUAUUUAUUUAUUUAUUUUAUUUCAUGCUUAAUAGGAACGAGUUUGAAAAAAAUAAUAAAUUAUUGAAUACAAGUUUAAUUUUAUUCAAUUUUUUUAAAUAAUGAUAAAAUAAAAUUCACAAUAAAAAGAAUUUUUUGUUAUUAUAUAUUUGUUUUGCCUCAUCCUUAAUACGAGGAAUUUGAAAAAUAACAGAUAAGUUAAAACGUGGGUUUGAAUUUUUUAUUUUUUUAUUUUGCAUGAGGAAUAAGGCUGCUAUUGACUAUCGAGAGAAUACACAGAACUUUGAAAGGAAAAUUACCAAAGCUGUUUUGGCAAGAGGAAUGGGAAGGAGUGCAGAUGUAUAGGGACGGAAUGUGGGCUAUGUUCAGGAAGGAGGGUUCUGAUCAUGCUGGACUGACGUGGAUGAUUGAGGCUCUCUCCAGGCUGGUGAGUGGUCUUCCCAUGUGGGUGGAGUCAAUAAGAAGGGGAGAGUUUUUCACGAGCGGAAAAGGGUGAUUGAAGGAGGGGGAUGAGAUCCAGAUCAUAAAAAACGGCUGGGUGGCUUUUAAAAGUUGGGUUUUUUUUUCAGUAGUGGGGCACGAUUUGCAGCAUCAAAACAGGAAGAGGAGGUGCAGCCGCACCAUUGAGAAGAGGAGGUGCAGUCGCACCAUUGAGAAAAAGAGGACAACUUGGUGAGAAAGGGGAGGUUGGGUCAACCUUUUAGAGAGGCGAUCAGACUACGUUUGGAAAGGUUUGGGGCUGCUAUUUUGGAGAAUCAGUCCAUAUUUUUAAGAAGUUCGGGCUGCAAAGAAGGCAUCUCGAGAAAAGGGGGAAUAUCCAGCAUUCUGAAGGGGAAGGCCGUGUCAAUGGAAGAGGGUUCGUAUUUUAGGGAAGUGAUGGUGGGGUUGAGGUUAGCGAAGGAGGUUAUUAAGGUUCAGCAAGGGUGGCGAGCCAAUGCUGUGGCUCAUUUGAAUCUGUCUAGUGGUUAUUCGAGGUCCUCAGCCAAUUCUGCUACUGACUGGCCUUGUUUGUUGUUGGAACCAUUAUCACAGGCAGCGAAGAUUGGGUUUUUUUUCAGCCGAAGCUGAUAAUUAACAAUAUUGAUGUUUGUCGCCAUGCAAUUUUAACGGAUGAUUCAACAGUGUGUGCAUCGAUGUAUCAUGACAGAUUGCUGUGGAAAAUAAUAGCUUUGGGUGUGAAUGAGAGGUGUUUGCCUGUUGUUCUUGUAACUUCAGAUAGCUACCAUUCAUACCAAGCCUAUUUGGAUUUUAGAUUUCCAAACAUAUUCAUCUCUCGUGAGACCUUUGGAUGGACUCCACAAGAAGCUAAACUGCAUAUGGUCACAGAUUAUUUCAGUCAUUCUGAGUUGGCAGUGAUAGCUGAUGUUCUUGGACCAAACCCUCGACAUAUGUUUGAGCUUUAUGCACUUCAACAGAGCAAUUAUUAUCGAAAGGUUAUGGAAGACAGUGGUAGUACAUUUGAGGAUAUCAUAGAUGCAUAUUUGUCAUAUUUGCAAAUUACUGUGGUGAAUCCUGCCAUGGAUAAAGCAUUGAAACUCCUGGAAAAGUUUGUUGUUGAUAGAUUACGUUUUGGUGCUCCUUGGAGACAUCCUCCACGUAUAGACAACCCUACUUUGUGCUCGGAGUGGACGAAGCUUCAAUUAAUUGAUUUUGUUCAAUCUCUAGUAUAUCCGAGUUUGGGGUGAGCAAAUAUGUUCUGAAACUGCUGGUUCAUUCAAGACGAAUGUCAUAAGAAAACAGUCGGGUGGGUCUUGAAAGCUUGGGUUUCUUUCAGUUGAUUGGGCAAUGGGAGGACACUGGUUUUGAUGGAGGGUGAUUCUCGGCAGAUAAAGGAAAGAGAUUCGAGGUGACUUGGAAAGGGAGAAACAGGCUGGUGGUCUUUUGGGGGAAUAGAAGAUAGAGAGGGAGACACCACUUUUUUGGAGAAGGGAGGUCCACACAGGUUCAGAUUUUGGUGAGGCUUUCUGGGGAUUUUCGGAAGCAGAUUCAACAGAUUUUGGUGAAGGAGUUCUCUAGGCGGUUUUUUUCUGUUGUUAAGUGGCAGCCGCAUGGACUGCAUAAGGAGGGUUGAUGUCUCAUAGUCACCUUCUUUCCUCCAUUGAUAGUAGCCCACAAGGGCACCUUAAGUGGGCGACACAAUAAGGCUGCCAUGCACGCAUGAGGCAUCCAUGACGCAGCCAUGUGGGAGAAGGUAGCAACCACUUUCUCAUUUUUUCUAUGUAUCUCCAGAAACUCCUUUGUACAGCCCACACACGCGCUAAUGAAGUAGAUUCGGCAUAUUUUUAGAGGGGGAAUCUUGAAACCACACAACAUCAAGAGACUUGGCCGGAAGUGUGAUGAUGGGUAUUUCCAAAGAAAAGUUAUAAUUCGCCCACUUUUGAAUAUGUUCAUAGAUGUGAAGGGUCCCACGAGCCUUGAAUUUGUCACUACAUGCAAAAUAUAUGCAGAAGUGAUUGAAAAUGCAUGGCCACCUUUUCCUGCAUGUGAAUGUGUUGAGCUCUAUGGUGCAAUUACUAAUGAAAUUCUCAAUUUAGUUGAUAAGUAUUUUGAGAUGCAAAAGCAUAAUGUUGUCCGGGCAUUGGAAAUUUAUCUGAAAGCAGGAGAGCCAUCAACCAUUCACUCGACAAGCAAGAGAAACACAUAGGCCGCACCAUUCUCCAACAAGACACAACAACAUACAUUCUUGAAGGUAAGUCCCUUUCUAAAAUUUUAUUUUAGUUUAAUUUUAAUUUAUUUAGUUAGUUUAGAUUUUUUUUUUUUCAUAAUUAGUUUAAUUAAUUCUACAUUAUAAAGCUCUUAUUUUUCAUUCCGAUUUAGUUUAGUGUUGAUUUUUCUUUUAGUUUAAGUGUGUUUAUGGUAUUAAUUCAGUAGUUUAAUUCAUCUUAUUAGACAAAGUUCAUAUAUAUAUAUAUAUAUAUAUAUAUAUAUUAUCCCAAAUUAGUUUAGUUUUAAUCUAUCUUUUAGUUUAAGUGUGUUAGUAAUUUUAAUUCAGUAGUUUAAAUAAUCAUGUCAGAUAAAGUUUGUGUUUUUAAUUCUAAUUAGUUUCGUCUUAAUUUAUUCUUUAGUUUAGAUUUGUUGUUGAUUGUAAUUUAUUAGUUUAAUUAAUCUUAUUAGAUAAAGUCUAAUUUCAAUUUAGUUUAGUUUUAAUUUAUUCUAUAGUUUGAGUUUGUUUGCGAUUUUAAUUCAAUUGUUUAAUUAAAGCUCAUAGGUAAAGAUCUUGUUUUUAAUUCUGAUUUAGUUUAAUUUUAAUUUACUUAUUUAUUUAUUUAUUUUAGUUUAGAUGUGUUUGUAAUUUUAAUUCGACAGUUUAAUCGAUCUUAUUAGAUAAAGUUGAUGUUUUUAAUUCUAAUUUAGUUUAUUUUAAUUUAUUUUUUAGUUUUAAUGUGUUUGUGUGUUUAAUUGACCUUAUGCUAGCUCUUGAUUUGUUAUUCUCAAUUUAGUUGUUUUCUUGAAUCUUAGUCAUUAAUUCUUGGUGGAUAUCUGAUUAGUUUAUUUAAUUUAAGUUUUAAUAAUUUAUUAUUUCGAUAGUCUCUUGUCAAAUUUACUUUUCAGAGGCUAUCGGAAAAUAGUGAAAAUUGACCUCCAUUCUCACCACUUUAGUUUGUUUGGUUGUCAAAAAUUUUACUUUAUGAUUUUGUUUACUUUUAUUUUGCUUGUUUCUUAUGUUUUAUUGUUUUCAAAUUGAUUUAAUUUUAUUUCAAAAUAAAAUAUUUUUCUCAAAAGAUCCAUUUGAAAAUUCUAUUUUAAAAACAAUUCAUUUAGAGUCCUUAGAAUCAGAAUCUCAUUUUUUAAUAAUAUGCAACCAUGUCUUGAUUGGUUUGCAUUUUUCUCAGUUUUCAAUAAAAAUUCUGGUUUUAAAUGGAAUAUGAAUCCAAGCUUGUGGUCCCAAACAAAUGGGAUAAUUCUGGGCUAGAUUUCUGUAUAUCAAUUGGGGAAUUGGUGGAACCCCUACAUAAGAAAAUGAUUCAAAACUCAUCUUUGCUGCCACCUUUGCUAUUUCAUGAAAUCAUGUCUAUUUAUUUUUUAGGAAUUAUAUACAAGAUGUAUGUGAUAAUUGAUGAUUUUGUAUACUUUGAUAAUUUUUCCUAGGCUAAUUAUAUAACAAGCACGUUAGGAUUUUUUUAUUUUAUUAUUUAUUAUCUAAUCCCUCCUGUCUUGUGGAAGCACGUUACAAGUUAUCUAUGCUAUCCAAGUACGCCCUCUAUCACCCACCUUCUAAAUUUUGCGAAUAUGUUGGUCACUGUGAACUGCGCUUAUGUUUGAUAGUGCUUGGGUGUCUUGAUAUUUGUUUCAUUGUUCGAUUAUUUUUUAUAAAGCGCAUGCUGGAUGAUAUACUAUUUGAACUAACUUUGAUGUCUUGUGAGGGCACUUAAGAAGCAGUCUAAGUACACACCCUAAAUCUUCUUUAUGAUUAUGAUUUGUUUUUCUUAUUUGGCAUACUAUUUUUUAAAUCACCUAGCCUACUUAGGUAUCCAUGAUCAACCAAUUAAUUGUCACAUUUCCCUCAACUUAGCCAGUAGAGAUCUUUUUAAGGCUUAGAGGAGUGUUACCUCUUAGAGGUACCUUUCCAAUAGGUAACCUAAUUCUUGAACCAAGACUUGGGUUUUCGAAACAUGCUUUUCCAAAAUUGUGGAGUCACUUAUUUAGGGUUUUCUUUCUUGUUUUAUUUUUCCUUUAAAGUAAAAUAAAAUAAGCAGCGACUCCAGCUUUUCCAAAACUAAUUUUUUACCAAUAAAAGUGAGUCUCGCCGAUUGAGUGGGGACGCACGUGAAGAAUGUGGGUCCACAAUAUAUAUGGGGCAACCUAAAGGAUUUAUUGUAAUAAGACAAGAACACCAAGUUAGAGAUAGAUACAUUUAGCUAGGUUGGUUUUUAACCAAUCCAAAAAUCAAAUAAGAGUUCAUUGGUUUUAACUAAAGUACAACAAAUUUAUUUGUUUACUUAUACUAAUCCAACUUAAUAUCAAUUCGAUUUAGUUUAGUUAACUCAAUUUAAACAAAAAUAUUGAGUUUGUAUGUUUUUUUUCACAUUGACCAUACAACCAAAAUGAUCAAAUUGUUUUAGAUAUAUAUAUAUAUAUAUAUAUAUAUAUAUAUAUAUAUAUAUAUAUAUAUAUAUAUAUAUAUAUUACAAGUAAUAAAAUUAAAAAAUUGUAAAAUAUGUCCAAAGAAAAGUUAUAAUUCGCCCACUUUUGAAUAUGUUCAUAGAUGUGAGUUUGUCACUACAUGCAAAAUAUAUGCAGAAGUGAUUGAAAAUGCAUGGCCACCUUUUCCUGCAUGUGAAUGUGUUGAGCUCUAUGGUGCAAUUACUAAUGAAAUUCUCAAUUUAGUUGAUAAGUAUUUUGAGAUGCAAAAGCAUGAUGUUGUCCGGGCAUUGGAAAUUUAUCAGAAAGCAGGAGAGCCAUCAACCAUUCACUCGACAAGCAAGAGAAACACAUAGGCCGCACCAUUCUCCAACAAGACACAACAACAUACAUUCUUGAAGGUAAGUCCCUUUUUAAAAUUUUAUUUUAGUUUAAUUUUAAUUUAUUUAGUUAGUUUAGAUUUUUUUUUUCAUAAUUAGUUUAAUUAAUUCUAUAUUAUAAAGCUCUUAUUUUUCAUUCCGAUUUAGUUUAGUGUUGAUUUUUCUUAUAGUUUAAGUCCGAAAGUACAAUGAUUUUAAAUUUUAGAUAAUGCUUAUGCCAUAAGCAACUUUUAAUUUGUAAUAAAGCCAUAUGAGUUAGACUCCAAGCCGCUAACACCAAAUUGUAGCCCAACUAAGUUGCCUUCGGAUGAGAAUGGUUCGACUCACAAAGUCCCAAGAUUCUCCACAACACUCCAAAAUCCAAGCAAUUAUAUUUGUCCCACUCCUCUACUACUUGGGUUUGUUUGCCAGUCCACUUUUGGUAAGUGAUCUAGGUUGAAUUUUCCAUAAGCCAAAAACCAAAAUAGAGUUACUCAAGUAAGAAUACUUCUAAAGAGAAUAGUCUAAAGAGCUACUACAAAAGAGAAUUGGAGAUGGUUGGAGUAAUGGUGGUGGCUAUUGAAAGGGUUAAUGGUGGUGGGAAGCCAUAGCCCUUGGUGAAGAGGAAGUUAGGUGAAUUGGAGACUCGGUGAAGAAGAAAAUGUGAGCUUGAUAAAAUUUCCUCCAACUUUUCCUUCUCUCUCUUAUUUUCCCCACUAAUUUUUAAGGAAAGUAGUAGGGAAAAUAUUACAAUAUUUCCUUUAGUAUUUUUCUUUAUAUUUUUUUUCCAUCAUAUUUUUCAUGUCACCCAAACUAAGAAAAAUAACUUUCCACAAUAUUUUUUUUUCCUUUCCCUUGCAUUUUCUGAAAACUAAACACAACCUUUAUAAAUAAAAAAUUAAGAAUUACAGUAAGACGGUAUAUUCUUCCUUUUUCUUCCUGCAUUUCUACAUCAACUACUCUAUCUUACAUCAUAUUUUUACUCCCUUCUUCAAUCAGCAUUCCUCUCUUUAUAUAGAGUUAUCUUCACACCAAUUCAUAAGAUAAGAAAGAUGAAUGAACCUUGGGGCAAGGUUGGACAACUGGUGGCAGCUAGUCAAGGCUAGAAGUCAACUUUUGCUUGACUCUUUGGGAAUGGGUAGCAACGUGUCGACCUUUCUUUAGCAUGAAAAUGGCUAGAACGUGUCGACCUUUCUUUAGCAUGAAAAUGGCUAGAACGUGUUAAGCUCUCUUAUUAGAUGACGUGUCAACUAUAGGGUAAUCAUAGGGUGGGGAAUAUAUGGUAAUUAUGCAAAAAAAGAAAAAAAAAGAAAAAGAAAAAUUGAUAUCCAAUUAUAUAGAAAGACAUCUUCCAACAUUUGAUAUAAAUAAAAAUUAAGAGAAAAAUAUUUUAAAAAAGCAUAUUAAACCUAAAAAUAGGGAAUUAAUAAUAAAAUCAAGUAAAAAGGUAAAAUUAAAACUAAAUAUAAAAUAUGAAUAUAGUUUAAAUAUUAAAAAUAAUAUUAUUUAGGUUAAAUCAUUAGGCUUGCUAGAGGAGUUUAUAUAUAUAUAUUAGUUUUUUCUUUUUUUUUAAUCCUUUCUAUGUUGUUUAUAUUAAUGCAUUGAAUUUGAUGUUACCUAAAACAAAAUUAUAUUUCAUGUCCUCUAUUAUAAGUGGACAACCAUUCCUUAUGUUAGAUUUUAGAUAAAGAACGAAUAAUGAAGAUUGGAAUUGUAAGAAAUUAGGAGAUCCUAAUUUUAAAUAUGUAACAAAGUUCUAUAAUCACUCCUAUCCACAUUUAAAAAUUGUAUUUCUUUCUAAUAUGGGAGCAAACUUUUUCCUUCUUUCUUAUAAUUUUCAUUUGGGAAUGAUUUAAAAAUAAAUAAACAAAAGCCCUUCUAAAUAUUAAAAAAACAAUCUCUUAUAAAAAUUAAUUAGGUGGAUGGUAAGGUCAAAUUCGGGAUACUUCAUAUUUUUUGCUUUGCCUGAAAAUUAAAAUCAAAAUCAAAAUUAAAGUAAUAAUUUUUAAGAUGUUGUAAAAGUUUUAUUAAACAUGAAAGAACUUAUUGUGUAAACAAAAAUAGAACUAUAGAAUUCUUAUAAGAAAUAACAAUUUUAUGAAUUCUAUAUGAAACCUUUUUUAAAAGUUAUAAGUUUUUUUUUAUAAAUAAUUAAAUAGGUAUAGGAACUUUUAUUCAACUUAAUUUUUUUUAACGGUUAAAAGUCAAUCCAAAUAAAAUUUAAAUAUAUUUGAAAAUCAUUUUAAAAAAUUCAAAAAAUCACUUAAAAAAAAUUUAUGAAUUUUUUUUUUAAUUUACAUUCAAAUACUAAGUGAUUCUUUUAAAAAUCAUUUAUAAUGUCAAAAUAUUUUUUUAUGGAUAAAAACAUUAGAAAUAAAAAACAUUUCUAAUGAAAGUUUAAUCAAUUAAUCUUUUUUAGCACACCACUCAUAACUGUCAGUGAUUUCCUGCUAACUUAACAUAUCGACAUGGACUUGGAGAGUUCGGUCAAUUAAAGCAGCCUGAUUAAUUGUAAGUGUCUUUUCUCUAAACCAUAAAUUCCUACGUUUUAAUUUACAAAAGCCAGUGAUUUGUUUUUACUUAAGGAAGCAGGAAAGGGUUUAAUGAGUUGAAACAAGAACACAACAUCAAAUUCUCUUUUUAUAAUCAAAGACUACUAUGGAAAAUUCCACCAUAGCAUAUCUCAAAUUCCAUUAAUAAUCCCAAACACAAUAUUCCGCAACUUUACAUUAUUCUUUUUAUCAACUUUACACAAAAAAUUGAAGAGGAAUACUAACUUAAAUCAAACAGAAAUUAAAUCAUGAAAGAUGAAUAAUACAAAUAUUCAAUGAAAUCUUUGGCGUGUUAUUUCUUUGCAGCUUCAACAUGGUGGCAUGUCCGACGGAGGAGGCAACAUUUGAGCUUCCGGGUGUUUACCAUUUUUCACUAUGAACGCAGUUUCCAUGCCCCAAGUCAGAUGGCGUUCUACAUGGCAGUGCAUGAACCACACUCCUGCAACAGAGAAAAUAUACCAACAUUACACCUAACUUUAUUGUAAUAUUAAGAAAAAAUAUUUCAUUGGUAUGUAGGUUGGCAGUUUCAAGGGUUUUUUUCUUUAAUAAAGGACAUGAGUGCUUGGAACAUACCAGGGUUGGAUGCCUCGAAUCUGAUUGCAACCCAACCAUUCGAAGGAACAGAGAUGGUAUUCUGAAAGGGAGGAUCCACCAUAUUAUAGCGCAAAGGGUCCUUAUUUCCAUCGAAAUUCCCAAAUCCCCAUCCAACAACAUAGAAACUGUAUCCAUGGAGAUGCAUGGGGUGGUGUGUCGCUGCAAGCACAUUUGUCCCUUGAAAAACAAUAUCCACUGUGGAGUUAUACUCGAGCACCCUUACUUCUGUUCCGCUGCUCGGCAACUGAUAGAUUAAUGGAAGAUAAUCAGCUGUAAAAUCGAACACCAGUGGUGGAUCACUAGGAAAUUUAUCUCCAUAUAUACCACUGAUGUUAUAAUAGUAAGCUUGCAGUAUGUCAACUGUAGGGGUAUGGAAGCUUAUGUUGUUUAUACUUGAGGAGAAUCGCGUCCCAUUGGCCCCUGCACAUGAAUUAUUGACGCAUGGGUACGAGUUUACAGAAACAGUGUAAAUCAGGUUAGUGCUCGUGCUCAAUGGGACAUUGCAAGGAUGUUCCGCAUUUGCUAAGCUUCGGAGGCCGGCCAUGACCUGAACGGAUGCAUUUGUGUCAUUGUAUGCAGGAAGAUAAGGCAAGGAGGGAGGUGAAGAUGGAGUGUAGUAUCCGUUGUAUUGUACAAUAGCUGUGGUGGUUGUGUUAUCAUAAAAGUCUUGAUAUUUCGGGGCAACAGAAUAAGUUAUAGCCGCCAUGUAAUAGUGAUCCGGGCGUUGGUUAGCUUCUAGUAAGACAUCAUAGGUUUGGCCAGGAAAUAUUGUGAUAAAAUCUCGUGUCAAUGGUUUCGUGUAGCUACCAUCUGUUCCAACCACUGUCAUUUUAUGCUUGUCAAUGGAGAAGAAGAGAGCCUCUUGCAAGGCAGCAUUGAUUAUGCGAAGUAGAUAGGUCUUUCCAUGAUCCACCGUUAGCUUGAAUGUGUCUGCAAUUAGAAAGGGAAAGUUGUAUACUUAUGACUAGCCAAAAGAAAAAGAAAAAGUUUCCAUGAGGAUCCACUAAUUAUGAAGUGAUUGAUUGAUGAGGGGUGUAAAUUUGGCUCCAUAGUUCAAAAUUAUAUUUGGACUAGCCUUCUUUUGUGUUUUAAAUCAUGGCUCUACCAUCCUCAUAGCUAUAUUCCUCUUUCUUAGCAUUAAGCUUUAAAUAUGUUGAUGUUAAUAAGAAAAAGUAAUAUGGCUAACAUAUAAGAAAAUGAAAUUGUGUACAAUUUUAAAAUGGGAAGUUAAACUUUGUACCUGAUUUUGAGCAUGGAUAUAGAUCACCGGGUUGUCCAUUUAUCAAUAAAGCAUCAGAGGGGUCGGGGUCACCUCCGGUUGCAAGCCCUUCAUCUCGAACCGCAUUCACAUCAUUCUUCCACCAUUCUCCUGCAUUUCAACAACUUCAAUAAUUUUAGAUUUUGCUUUGUUGGUUAAUUCAUAAUAUGUAAAUUAACCUUUAAAAGUAACAACACUUAUACCUAAUAUGAUAGGGACCUCUCUAUCAGGUUUGUGAAAAGGAUACUUGGUUCCAUUCUUGGGAUAGAUAAUUAUAGCUCCAUGAACAGUGGCUCGGGUCCAAUCACUGUGAGCAUGCCACCAUAGAGUGCCUUCUUCAGUGGAAAGGAUGAUCUUCUGUGUAAACUUUGACCCUGGCCGAAUUGGGCAUUGUGUGAUAUACUCGGGACCAUCUGUCCAUGGAUAUCUAGGCAUGGUCACCCCAUGCCUGCGAAACCAUAACUAUACGUUAAAACUAGUACUAAUUUUCAAAGUAACAAAAGAUGGCAUGCAACAACAUAUUAUCAUAAUAACAAGAGGCAUCAAUUGUAUUUCAAUGGAACUAAAGCAAAUAACCUAAAAGUAUUGUUUUAAAUUUGACUUUAUUUUCAAAGUUAUAUAUUGUAGCCCCCUCUUAGAUAUAAAAGAAUAUAUGUCAUGCAAGCAUGGUACCACUGCUCUUUCUUUGAGACACGCACAGGACCUACCAGUGAAUGGUGAUGUUUUCAUUUCCCUUGUUAUAAACGUCGACAAUGAUCGUCUCUCCUUUCGUAGCAUAUAUGGUUGGUCCCGGAAAUUUUCCAUUUACUGUUAAGAUGUUCUUGGUGCUACAAAGCCUUUUAUAUGAAGCUUCCCUCACCUGCAACCAAUUAAAAGUUAGCCAUGCAACCUGAUCCCAAAAGAAAUAUCACAUGCAUGAAUAGUUGUAUCGAUCCAUUCAUGUAAGUGUAUAACCAAUUAGAAAUUGAUAGCAUGCAUGAACGACUCAACGACACCAAGGUAGUAGGUCAUAUGGUACGAAAUGAGAGCAAUACCACUCCCUAAAUAUCAUGAUUACAAGGUGGCGUUAAGGCCAGAAUCAUAUAUAGUAUUUACCACAAAAGUAAGCCGACGGGUCGAAGCUUGGCAAUGGAUGCCACCACCAAAAACUAGAAACGCUAAAAUUUGCAGGAGGAAAACCUUCAUGAUCAGCCACAUUUUCCUUGGAAUAAAAGCCUCUUCUCUUGUCCUAAACACAACUCCUUCAAUUCUCUUACUGCUUUUGAUGUAUUUCUUUCAUAUAUGGUUCAUUAUAUAGGCAUGGUAAUUCUCUAGGGAUACAAUACGUGUCAAUAUAAGAGGAAGUGAUUUGAAUGUGUAUUGGUUUUCAAUGUUCUUUCAGGACGACUUCAAUGAGCAGGACCACUUCAAAAUAAUUAAUUAUGAUAUUUCUUACACGUUACCUACACGUUAUUUUAGAAUAAAUUUAAAAUAUCCUUUCACAAGUCUUUUAUUGAUUAUUUCAACAAAUGUUAAUUAAUUAAAUAUAUGUAGGAUAUUUUUAAAACUUUGACCUCCCGUAUGAAAACUGUUUUUCAUUGACAACUACUUUUAACAAUUAUUGGGUGGUUGGCGGCAAAGUUGUUUUCGUAUUGUUAAUACAAUUUGUCAUGAUCGUUGAUUUCGUUUGAAUGGGACAAAGUUGUUUCCAAUUUUUUUUAAACUUGAGAAUUGAGAUUAUAAAAGACAAGAUGAGAAGUUAUUUGGUAUUUCAGAAUUUUCCAUAACAAAUACAAAAAUAUAUUUUGUAAAAAGCUGAAAAUAGGAUACUAACAACCCCUUAUAGUAUUUUUUUUUUUCUCAACAAAAAGCAAUUUAAUACUAAUAAUAAAAAAUAAUUAUAGAUUUUAAAAUAUAUUUUUCAAAAGAAAUGAAUCUAUAAUUUAUUUGUUCAAAUGGUAUGUAUAUAUUGAUUAAAUAAAUAAAUUAUGAAAAGAUUUAUAUAUUUUCAAAAUGAGAUUUUAAAAUUGAACAGAGAUAUUUGUUUAUUUUAGAUUUGAAUGUUUGGAUUCAUCUAAUUCCAUAAAUUAUUAUUUCUUUAUUUUAUUGGAGUUGACUUUAAAUGUUUGGAUUGACCUAAUUCCAAGUGGACUAAGCCAACCUAAUAUUUGAAUGGAGAUGAAAGCAUGGGUAUAGGUUUGUACUUAAAGAAAUUUAAAAAGGAAAUGAAGAUAUGAUUAAAAUAAACCUGAUACAGUUACUCUAUAAGAAUAGAUCCUGUUUCUAACCUUUUAACAUACAAAUUUGGAAACCUAAACGUAUGGAUUGUUUCUUUCCUAUAAUGGAAUCCUAUAUUCCUUCUCAAAGCAGCGCUGACUUGAUAAAGGUUUAUUUUAUCUAUAUAUGGGAGGUCAAAGUUUUAAAAGUAUUCUACAUAUAUUUUAAAUUUAUUCUAAAAUAAUGUGUUUGAUUAAUUUCUUGGUCGAUUCUCAAAGUCAAACUUGUAUUUUGAAUUAGAAAAUUCAAGAGAUUCUAAGAAACUCGUCUUCUACGAUACACAACCUGAUUGAAGCUGAGCUUUGAGAAAUUUUCACAAUUGUUAGCAUUCUUCAGGCAUUUGGUUUAUUUAAAUUUUAGUAGGUAAUCAAAUAUCAUACACAACCUGCUCUUUGAAGUGGUCCUGGAAGAACAUUCAAAACCAAUACACAUUCACAUUACUUCGCUUAUAUUGAUACGCGGCGAGGAAUUGUUGAUACCCAAGCCACAUGUGAUCUGAUUUAAUGAAUGAAUCUCUGCCCUUCAUCCGAAGAAUUCUGGUGUUCUGGAUUGAUGGGAGCAAAAAGGUGACCAGUUUUACCUUGAGUCAAAUUCAAAUGACAAAAUAUAUUACCAGGGCAAUCAUGGACACCACCCUUAACUACAAAAAUAGCGCACACAGCCAAUCCCAUCAACCUAGUAUUACACCAAUUUGGAGGCAGAUGUACCAUAUUACUGUGGAGCCUAUACGCUGUUGGCUGAACCACUCAGGAAUUCAACUUCCAGGAACGAAAGUACUGGAUUCAAUAUGUGGAGUAUAUGGCACCAUCUGGGUCAUGAAAAUCAAUGUCAAGUUAUAUGGAAAUAAUGUAGGAGUAGUGCUCAAAGGAGUAUAAGAAUUAUUCCAUAGGAUUUAAUUGAUUUACUUUUACAAUAUGAUCAAGAGAGAGAGGAGAGAAACCUGAAUUGGGAAUUGAAAUCUUGGUAAUUUAUUUGCCAGACUUUGCAUUUCCCUUAAUGUAGCUGCCACAAAGUUGCUGCUUUCAUUCUCAGACAGUCUGAAGCAAUUAGAAAAUGUGAAUCGGAGGCCCCCACAUUCCUUGGAUCUGUAGACACUUGAUGGACACAAAAUGUUUUCCAUAACUGUGCCAUCAUGGGCAUCUAUUUCUUCUAUACUUGAUGGAAGCUCUGGUAAUGAUUGAAGCCUCUUGCAACAACCCAACCUAAGGCCUUUGAGCUGUGAAAGUUGAUUGAGGCGUGCAGGUAGAGUAACAAAAUUGUUUCUGCUCAGAUCUAAAUAUUCCAAUGAGCACAGAGAGCUAAAGUCAUUGGGAAUUGCUCCUUCCAAUAUGUGGCAAUCACUUAGAUUUAACUUUCUUAGGGAUCUUAAACCAAAGAAAGAUGCAGUUGCCACACUAUUCUUAGAUUUAACUUUCUUAGGGAUCUUCAUAUUUAGUUUCAUAGGAAAGAUGUUUUCAAAGAAAUCUGCAUUCUUUGUUUCUAUUAUAGUAUUGACAUCUACCAGAUUAUUUUCUGACUUAGUAACAAGAAACCUAUAUGCCACACUAUUCUCAGCAUAGCCAAUGAACGUUGCAUCAAAGGUUUUAGGACCUAGUUUUCGUUUUUUAGGUUCGGGGAGAAGAACUUUAGCUAAACACCCCCACACUUUCAGGUAUGCUAUAUUAGGUGCACAACCUUUGCACAACUCAUAAGGAGUUUUACUAGUUUUCUUGUAAGGUAUUCUAUUUUGAAUAUGGCAUGCGGAUAGGAUAGCUUCCCCCCACAAGUUCAAGGGUGCUCCUGAACUUACUAACAUUGGAUUCAUAAUUUCUUUUAAGGUCUUAUUUUUCCUUUAUGCUAUUCCAUUAGACUCAGGGGAAUAAGGAGGAAUAAGGAGGAGUAGUUUCAUGAAUGAUCCCAUGAUCUUCACAAAAAGAAUUAAAGGGGUUGGACUCAUACUCUCCUCCUCUUUCAGUUCUAAGCCUUUUAAUUUUCUUACUUAGUUGAUUUUCCAUUUCAUUUUUGUACUUGAUGAAAGCAUCUCUUGCUUCAUCUUUGUUUCUCAAAAGAUAUACCCUUGUAUACCUUGAGUAGUCAUCUAUGAAAGUUAUGUAGAAUUGAUCACCACCUCUAGUCAUUGUAUUUUUUAGGUCUCCUAAGUCACUAUGUAUUAAACUUAGUAGACCUGAUUCUCUUUCAACUGAUUUGCAAGAUUUCUUUGUGGCUUUAGAUUCUACACAAGAUUCACAUUUCCCAUGGUUUUCUAAGGACAGAUUAGGGAUUAAACUCAAUUCAACCAUUUUCUUCGUAUAUGAAAAGUUCACAUGUCCUAGUCUACCAUGCCAAAUAUCACAAGAAUCAACUAUGUAAGCAAAAGAAGAAGAUGUAUUAUUAUUGAUAAUAUCAUAAACAUUCAACAUAAAUAAACCCUGAUUACAAUAGCUCUUUCCCACAAAUGCAUCAUUCUUGGUUAAAACUAUUUUAUCAGAGUCAAACAAGAUCCUCACUCCUGCUUUUCCAAGUAGAGAUACCGACACCAAGUUCCAACAGAUAUCUGGCACAUGAAGAACAUCAUGUAGGGCAAGCACUUUUCCAGAUGUUAGCUUGAGGAGAACUUUCCCUUUGCCAAUCACUGGAGUAGAUCUAGAAUCACCCAUGAACACUUGUUCCUCUCCUUUCUUUAUAGUGGUAUAGGAAGUAAAUGCAUUUCUAUUCCCACAGAUGUGCCUAUUAACCCCAAAGUCUACCACCCAUUCCUUCAUAUUGGUGACCAUGCUCACCUCAAAGGAGAUUACUGUUGUGAUCACCUCUGUCUCUGCCAGAUUUGCCUUUGAACUAGUCUUCUCAAUUCUCUUCCUAUGGCGACAUUGAGCUGCAUGGUGUCUAGACUUGCCACAGACAAAGCAAUUACCCCAUUUUUUAAUAAUUGAGUUUUGGACCUUGUUUAAUGCAUUAGGCUUGGUCCUAAAGUUUUGUUUCCUGAACCUAUUAUUUUUGGGUUUAGAUUUUUCUUCUACUACAUUAGCUUUAGAAGACAAUUCCUUAGCUUUCUCAAUAUUGUCCCUAUUUCGGUUUUGUUCCUCAAUCCUAAUAUGGAUUAUGACAUCCUCUAAGGACAUUUGUUUCCUUUUAUGUUUCAUGUUGUUUUUAUAGUCUUUCCAAGACUCCGGAAGAGCCUCUACUAAAUAACUAGCCACAAAAGGUUCGGGUAAUUUAAUGUCUUCAAUAGCUAAGUCAUUAAUCAACAAGUGGUAGUCAUGGAUUUGAGAUGAUACAACUCUAUCCUCACUCAUUUGGAAAUUUCUAAAAUUCCCUAUGGCAUAUUUAUGAGUUCCCGCAUCUUGCAAAAUAUAUUUUUUAUUCAUUGCAUCCCAAAUUUAUUUUGCAACUUUAAAUUGACAAUAAAUAUCAAAAAGUUCAUUAGAAAGUGUACUCAGAAUAGCAUAGCUAACUUGUUUAUUUCUAGUUUCCCAGGUUGGUAACCUAUGAGAACCAUCUUAUUGUUUUGGAUCAGUCAAAAUAUGUCCUAAGUUCACCACAUCAAUUGUAGAGAAAACCCUUUCCUGUCAUCUCUUAAAGAAUGUCCCAUUAAAUGGAUUAAUUUUAGAGGUGUCAGGAUGGGUGUGAAUUAGGGAAGCUUUCAUUUGAAUUUAUUUCAAGAUUGUUGGAUUUUAAGGGUAUGGAAACAAAGACUAGCCCAAAAAGACACAAACAAAGAACAUAAUGAAUAAUAAAAAAAAACUUAUCGGCUGAGGCAUGACAAACACUGUCCUUGAAAUAGAUCCACCCUUCUCGAAGACGAACUCUAUGCACUAUGUGAGAAAGGGUAUAAAUAAUGUGAGAUAAGGUACAAAAAAAUGUGAAAAAAAUGUACGAAUAAUGUGAGAAAAUGGUAUGCACAAUGUUAUAAAAUGGUACAAAAAAUGUAAGACAUGGUAUGAAUAAUGUGAGAUAGGGUACAAAUAAUGUGAUAUAAUGUAUGAAGAAUGUGAAGAAUGUGAGCAUGGGUAUGAAGAAUGUGAGAAAUUGUACGAAAAAUGUGGAAAAAAAAGUGCGAACAAUGUGAGAAAUUAUACAAAACAAUACAAGACAUAUGGUACAAAUAAUGUGAGAGAGAUGGUAUGAAAAAUUUGAAAUAUGAUACGAACAAUGUAAGGAAUGUUACAACCAAUAUGAGAAAGAAUACAAAGAAUAGGAGGAAGGAUAUGAAGAAUGUGAGACAUAGUAUGAAAAAUCUGAGAAAGGGUACGAACAAUGUGAGAAAGAAUACAAAGAAUGUGAGAUAGGGUAUAAAUUGUAAGGAAACCCAGAUCACUCUAUUCCAUAUCUUAGAAUUAGGUUAGAUGCAUGCAAAAACUUUCCUAGGCUUUUCUAAAUCCUAUGCAUAAUAAAAACAAACAUUUAAAAACUUUAGCAAGAUUUAAAAAUCAAAAGAGAAAAACUAUACAUUGAUUUGGAUAUUCUCAAAUCAAAUCCAUGUAGUGAAGUUGAAGGUUGAAGUAUUCAGAGGUCUCAAUGACUCAAACUCGAUAUUUGAACCCCAAAGGUGGGUUGGCUAUUGCUAUCUACAAAUUGGAUGAUAGAACACAACUAUCUUAAAAACCCUAACCUUUGAGAAGGUAUUUAUAGGGUUCCUUAAUUAGGCUUAAGUGACUUAAGCUUACCGUGGACUUAGGUCACUUAAUUUAGCUCAAAAUAUGUCUUAAUCAAUUAAUUACAUGACACUAUUAGGUUAAUUGAUUAAUUAACCUAAUAUGGCCAAUCAAUUAACCUAAUAGGGCCAUGUAAUUAAUCAAUUAACCUAAUCUAGAGGUUUUAUUCACUUACCUUUGUGUAACCUUACAUAAUUACCAAAACACUAUUAUGCACAAAAGUUAAUUAAGAGUUAAUCUAACCCUUAUGAACCAUUCCACCAAGGUAUAUGAACUCGAGUGGGGACCCCACUAGGAACCAUAGGAUAAUACUGACACAUUCAUAAUCCAGUUUUGAAGUUAACUCAACAUUCCACUACAAAAAAUUAAUUGCACCACAAUAUCCUAUGUACAAUACAAUGAAACACCAAGUUCUCUAGAUCGUGACCUAUUAUCCACUAAUUUCACCACAAUAUCCUAUGUGCAUAUGAUCAAAUGACAUGCCCUACCUCACUAAGAGCAUACGUCAAAUUACUAAAGGAAUUACUGUGUGUCCACAGAUUUCAUGAUCACACGUCCUUAGGAUCACCCAAUGGAACACACUCUCUUAAAGUCCAUGAGAUAUCGUGGUGUCUCUAAUGAGAAUACCAAUUUUUAUCGGCUUCCAUCAAUAGUGACUUAAUCCAUAGGAAAUAUAUGAUCAACUUACGAUCUCACAGUAGGUCAAAGCCUCUACUAACUUUAACUUAUAUAAGCUUAGUAUUCUCUUAAGGUUGAGAGACAAUACAAUUUAAUAGCUUGGUGAAGUCAUGACUACAUGAUAGUCUUAUGUCGUGACUCACCAUAGGUUCUGUUCAAUAUUGUGCAAACUUACACACUAGUGCACUCACCAUGGGAACCCCAUCCCAAUGGCCAAGACCAAUCAUUCCUCCUAUUAGAAGGUAGUGCACUACAACUUCUAAUGGGUUACCUAGGUUCAUGAACUAGCUAUGAACAAGUCAUCUAUUUGUAAUAAACCCAUGACUUGGAUCUUCUAUGCAACUCCUAAUGCACUUAAGUCGCAUUUAAUCAAACCUAAAUGCUUACAAGGUAUAGUGAAUGUCAUGUCAUGUCAUGUCAUGCUUUUAAAGAUUUUAUCAUAACUUGAAUAAUGUGAGACAUGGUACGAACAAUGUAAGAGAGAGUACAAAUAAUAUAAGAAAGAGUAAAAACAAUGUUAGAAAGAGUAUGAACAAUGUGAGACAAGAUAUGAAGAAUGUGAGGGAGGGUAUGAACAAUGUGAAGGAGGGUACAAACAAUGUGAGACAAUACAUGAAGAAUGUGAGGAAUGAUACAAAGAAUGUGAUGAAUGGUACAAAGAAUGUGAGGCAAGGUAAGAAGAAUGUGAGAAAGCGUACGAACAAUAUGAGAAAGUGUAUGAACACUGUGAGACAAUGUAUGAAUAAUGUGAGAUAAUGCAUGAAUAAUGUAAGAUAGUGUACAAAACAAAGUGAGAAAGAAUACGAACAAUAUGAGAAAUUAUAUGAAAAAUAUGGAGGGUAUAAAGAAUAUGAGAUAUUAUAUAAAUAAUGUGAGAAAAUAUACGAAAAAUAUGAGAUAUAGUACGAAUAAUGUAGAAAUGGUACGAACAAUGUGAGAUAAGCUAUGAAGAAUGUGAGAAAUAGUACUCUUCAUAUCCUUUCUCACAUUAUUUAUACCCUCGCUCAUGUACUUUUGUACAUAUUCUCACAUUCUUUGUACAUGAUCUCGCAUAAAAUAGAUAUUGUUUUAUUAAAUACAAAAAAAUUAUAAAAAAUUAUAAAAAUAUUGAAUUUUUAAAAAACCAAAUUGAUAACAUGUAUGGCUAAAUAAUGUAGUUCUCUAACUACUAUUUUUUUAUUAUUUUAUUUUAGUUUCUUCAUGGAUAUAAUGGACAAAGGCAAACGAAAGAAAUUCAUCAUUGAUUUGAAUAAUGAAAACUUUGAUUAAUAAUAUGAUUGCAAUGUGAAAACCGGGUUUGACAAAAAGCCCAUGCUAGUUUAAGAGAAUAUUUUGUAUGGUUUAAGACUUGAAGAUGUAUGGGAAAUGGAGUUCAACUCAAUAGAUGAGAUAGAAGAAUUUUACAAUUUAUACGUAAAGUUAACAAAUUCAAUGUUAGAAAGGAUGAUGUUAAAUGAGAUAAGAAUGAAAAUAUAGCAUCUCAUAUGUGGGUUUGCUCAAAGAAGGAUAAAGACAAACAAUAUGUUUGGAGAAUGAAAAUCGAAAACGAGAACAUAAGACAAUAACUAGAGUUGGUUGUGAGACAUCACUUCGUAUCGAGUUUAACAAACAAAUAAAUAAGUGUAUUAUGAUGGAGUUUAUGGGUGAUCAUAAUCAUCCUUUGGUGGAACCAAAAAUACCCAAUUCUUUCAAUCCCAAAGGGUCAUGAGGAAUGCAUAUAAGGCUUAAUUGAGUGCAAUGCGUAGUGUUUGCCUGAGAACUAGACAAAUUAUGGAUUACAUGGUGCAACAAUCAAAUGGAUAUAUUAAUGUGGGCUUCACAAAGAAAAAAAGAUCUAUAUAACCAUGUUAAUGUUGAUUGUAAAGUUCAGAUAAGAAAUGGUGAUACAAAGGGUACACUUUCUUACUUGUGUGGAAAGGCUUAAAUGGAUACAUCAUUUUAUUACAAGUACAAUGUUGAUAAAGACAAUCGCUUAACAAACUUGUUUUGGCCAAAUUCUACAAGAAUAUUGGAUUACACUUAUUUCAGAAAUGUGUUAGCAUUUAAUAGAACUUAUGAGACUAAUGCUUAUAGAAAACUAUUGGUCAUCUUAGUUGACAUUAACCAUCACAAUCAAAUUGUAGUGUUUAGAUGUUCAUUAUUGGUAGAUGAGAGUCUUUACACUUAUACAUAGGUUUUGGAGACAUUUUUGGAUGUAAUGAAUAAAAAGAAGUUUUUUAUUUUUUUCUGUUAUUAUAGAUGAGGACAAAGCAAGGUGUCAAGCCAUUAAGAGAAUAUUUCUAUAGUUUUAUCAUUGGUUAUGUGCUUAUUAUAUUCAAUGCAAGACAUUCAUUAAUGUCUAUGUCAAAGACUUUACUUAUCAUUUUUCUAGGUACAUGUUCAUGGAAGGCACCGUUAAUUUGAAUGUGCAUGGAGUGGCAUGGUGGAAAUGUGUAAUCUCCACGAACAUAAUUGGGUGAUAGACAUAUAUGCUAAGUGUCCUAGAUGGGCAAAGGCUUAUUUAAAGGUGCAUUUCUUUGCAAGUUUGAAAGCGCACAAAGGUGUGAAAGGAUGAAUGCAUACUUGAAUAGUUUCCUUAAAACUCAUUUAAAGUUGUUUGAGUUUUUGAAGCAUUUUGAUUGAGCACUCUCAUGUAUUCAUCAUAAUGAGGCAAAGGCAAAGUUUGAGAUGCACACUCUUUUACUUCUUCUAAACUCCAAACUCCAUGAAAUUGAGAAAUAUACAGACAUUGUUUUCACUCGGAAAUCUUUUCUCAAAUUUAGGGAUGAAAUGAAUGCGAAACUUUUUUCCCUUAUUAGUACAAAAAAUCAUAGAGGUUAUCAUGUCCAUACAUUGACUAAAUUUAGAAGCUCUGACAAGUUCUCAAAAGUAUGUUAUGGUAAUUGUGAUGAGUCUAUGAAAUGUACUUGGAAAGGGAGACACAGGUUGGUGGUCUUUUGGGGGGAAUAGAAGAUAGAGAGGGAGACACCACUUUUUUGGAGAACGGAGGUCCACACAGGUUCAGAUUUUGGUGAGGCUUUCCGGGGAUUUUCGGAAGCAGAUUCAACAGAUUUUGGUGAAGGAGUUCUCUAGGCGGUUUUUUCUGUUGUUAAGUGGCAGCCGCAUGGACUGCAUGAGGAGGGUUGACGUCUCAUAGUUACCUUCUUUCCUCCAUUGAUAGUAGCCCACAAGGCCACCUUAAGUGGGCGACACAAUAAGGCUGCCAUGCACGCAUGAGGCAGCCAUGACGCUGCCAUGUGGGAGAAGGUAGCAACCACUUCCGCAUUUUUUCUAUGUAUCUCCAGAAACUCCUUUGUACAGCCCACACACGGGCUAAUGAAGCAGAUUCCUGCAUGUGUCACUACAUGCAAAAUAUAUGCAGAAUAUAUAUGAGCCUUGAAUUUGUCACUACAUGCAAAAUAUAUGCAGAAGUGAUUGAAAAUGCAUGACCACCUUUUCCUGCAUGUGAAUGUGUUGAGCUGUAUGGUGCAAUUACUAAUGAAAUUCUCAAUUUGGUUGAUAAGUAUUUUGAGAUGCAAAAGCAUGAUGUUGUCUGGGCAUUGGAAAUUUAUCAGAAAGCAGGAGAGCCAUCAAACAUUCACCCGACAAGCAAGAGAAACACAUAGGCCGCACCAUUCUCCAACAAGACACAACAACAUACAUUCUUGAAGGUAAGUCCCUUUUUAAAAUUUUAUUUUAGUUUAAUUUUAAUUUAUUUAGUUAGUUUAGAUGUUUUUUCUUCAUAAUUAGUUUAAUUAAUUCUACAUUAUAAAGUUCUUAUUUUUCAUUCCGAUUUAGUUUAGUGUUGAUUUUUCUUUUAAUUUAAGUGUGUUUGUGGUUUUAAUUCAAUAGUUUAAUUAAUCUUAUUAGAUAAAGUUCAUAUAUAUAUAUAUAUAGAUUAUCCCAAAUUAGUUUAGUUUUAAUCUUUCUUUUAGUUUAAGUGUGUUAGUAAUUUUAAUUCAGUAGUUUAAAUAAUCAUGUCAGAUAAAGUUCGUGUUUUUAAUUCUAAUUAGCUUCGUCUUAAUUUAUUCUUUAGUUUAGAUUUGUUGUUGAUUAUAAUUUAUUAGUUUAAUUAAUCUUAUUAGAUAAAGUCUAAUUUCAAUUUAGUUUAGUUUUAAUUUAUUCUAUAAUUUGAGUUUGUUUGCGAUUUUAAUUCAAUUGUUUAAUUAAACCUCUUAGGUAAAGAUCUUGUUUUUAAUUCCGAUUUAGUUUAGUUUUAAUUUACUUAUUUAUUUAUUUAUUUUAGUUUAGAUGUGUUUGUAAUUUUAAUUCGACAAUUUAAUCGAUCUUAUUAGAUAAAGUUGAUGUUUUUAAUUCUAAUUUAGUUUAAUUUUAAUUUAUUUUUUAGUUUAAAUGUGUUUGUGUGUUUAAUUGACCUUAUGCUAGCUCUUGAUUUGUUAUUCUCAAUUUAGGCGUUUUCUUGAAUCUUAGUCAUUAAUUCUUGGUGGAUAUCUCAUUAGUUUAUUUAAUCUAAGUUUUAAUAAUUUAUUAUUUCGGUAGUCUCUUGUCAAAUUUACUUUUCAGAUGCCAUCGGAAAAUAGUGAAGAUUGACCUCCAUUCUCACCACUUUAGUUUGUUUGGUUGUCAAAAAUUUUACUUUGUGAUUUUGUUUACUUUUAUUUUGCUUGUUUCUUAUGUUUUGAUUGUUUUCAAAUUAUUUUAUUUUAUUUUAAAAUAAAAUAUUUUUCUCAAAAGAUCCAUUUGAAAAUUCUAUUUUAAAAAUAAUUCAUUUAGAGUCUUUAGAAUCAGAAUCUCAUUUUUUAAUAAUAUGCAACCAUGUCUUGAUUGGUUUGCAUUUUUCUCAGUUUUCAAUAAAAAUUCUGGUUUUAAAUAGAAUAUGAAUCUAAACUUGUGGUCCCAAACAAAUGGGAUAAUUCUGGGCUAGAUUUUUGUAUAUCAAUUGGGGAAUUGGUGAAACCCCUACAUAAGAAAAUUCUUCAAAACUCAUAUUUUUUGCCACCUUUGCUAUUUCAUGAAAUCAUGUCUAUUUAUUUUUUAGGAAUUAUAUACAAGAUUUAUGUGAUAAUUGAUGAUUUCGUAUACUUUGAUCAUUUUUGCUAGGCUAAUUAUAUAACAAGCACGUUAGGAUUUCUUUAUUUUAUUAUUUAUUAUCUAACCCCUCAUGUCUUGUGAAAGCACGUUACAAGUUAUCUAUGCUAUCCAAGUACGUCCUCUAUCACCCACCUUCUAAAUUUUGUGAAUAUACCGGUCACUGUGAACUGCACUUAUGUUUGAUAGUGCUUGGGUGUUUUGAUAUUUGUUUCAUUGUUCGAUUAUUUUUUAUAAAGCGCAUGCUGGAUGAUAUAUUAUUUGAACUAACUUUGAUGUCUUGUGAGGGCGCUAAGAAGCAGUUUAGGUACACACCUUAAAUCUUCUUUAUAAUUAUGAUUUGUUUUUCUUAUUUGGCAUGCUAUUUUUGAAAUCACCUAGCUUACUUAGGUAUCCAUGAUCAACCAAUUAAUUGUCACAUUUCCCUCAACUUAGCCAGUAGAGAUCUUUUUAGGGCUUAGAGGAGUGUUACCUCUUAAAAGUACCUUCCCAAUGGUAACUUGAUUCUUGAACCAAGACUUGGGUUUUCGAGACAUGCUUUUCCAAAAUUGUGGAGUCACUUAUUUAGGGUUUUCUUUCUUGUUUUAUUUUCCCUUUAAAGUAAAAUAAAAUAAGGGGCGACUCCAGCUUUUCCAAAACUAAUUUUUCACCAAUAAAAGCGAGUCUCACUGAUUGAGUGGGAACGCACGUGAAAAAUGUGGGUCCACAGUAUAUAUGGGGCAACCUAAAGGAUUUAUUGUUAUAAGAUAAGAACACCAAGUUAGAGAUAGAUACAUUUAGCUAGGUUGGUUUUUAACCAAUCCAAGAAUCAAAUAGGAGUUCAUUGGUUUUAACUAAAGUACAACAAAUUUAUUUAUUUACUCAUACUAAUCCAACUUAAUAUCAAUUCGAUUCAGUUUAGUUAACUCAAUUUAGACAAAAUUAUUGAGUUUGUAUGUUUUUUUUCACUUCGACCAUACAACCAAAAUGAUCAAAUUGUUUUAGAUAUAUAUAUAUUUUACAAGUAAUACAAUUAAAAUUUUUUUAAAUAUGUGUGGGAGCAACCUAUGGGUUAUUUGCUUGUUGGGAGUAAGUCAAUGAGUUGUAUUAUUGACAUAUUGGGCACUUGUGACUUGAAAUUAUAUUAUCAUCAUUAUUAAGUCCCAAAGUACAAUGAUUUUAAAUUUUAGAUCAUGCUUAUGCCAUAAGCAACUUUUAAUUUGUAAUAAAGCCAUACGAGUUAGGCUCCAAGCCACUAACACCGAAUUGUAGCCCAACUAAGUUGGCUUUGGAUGAGCAUGGUUCGACUCAUAAAGUCCCAAGAUUCUCCACAACACUCCAAAAUCCAAGCAAUUAUAUUUGUCCCACUCCUCUACUACUUGGGUUUCUUUGCCAGUCCACUUUUGGUAAGUGAUCUAGGUUGAAUUUUCCAUAAGCCAAAUACCAAAAUAGAAUUACUCAAGUAAGAAGACUUCUAAAGAGAAUAGUCUAAAGAGCUACUACAAAAGAGAAUAGGAGAUGGUUAGAGUAAUGGUGGUGACUAUUGAAAGAGUCGAUGGUGGUGGGAAGCCAUAGCUACUGGUGAAGAGGAAGUUAGGUGAAUUGGAGACUCAGUGAAGAAGAUAAUGCGAACUUGAUAAAAUUUCCUCCAACUUUUCCUUUUCUCUCUUAUUUUUCCCGCUAAUUUUUAAGGAAAGUAGUAGGGAAAAUAUUACAAUAUUUUCUUUAGUAUUUUCCUUUAUAUUUUUUUUCCAUCAUAUUUUUCAUGUCACCCAAACUGAGGAAAAUAACUUUCCAUAAUAUUUUUUUUCCCUUUCCCUUGCAUUUUCUGAAAACUAAACACAACCUUUAUAAAUAAAAAAUUAAGAAUUACAGUAAGACGGUAUAUUCUUCCUUUUUCUUCCUGCAUUUCUACAUCCACUACUCUAUUUUACAUCAUAUUUUUACUCCCUUCUUCAAUCAGCAUUCCUCUCUUUAUAUAGAGUUAUCUUCACACUAAUUCAUAAGAUAAGAAAGAUGAAUGAACCUUGGGGCAAGGUUGGACAAUUGGUAGCAACGUGUCGACCUCUCUUUAGCAUGAAAAUGGCUAGAACGUGUUAAGCUCUCUUAUUAGAUGACGUGUCAACUAUAGGGCAAUCAUAGGAUGGGGAAUAUAUGGUAAUUAUGCAAAAAAAGAAAAAAAGAAAAAAAGAAAAAGAAAAAUCGAUAUCCAAUUAUAUAGAAAGACAUCUUCCAACAUUUGAUAUAAAUAAAAAUUAAGAGAAAAAUAUUUUUAAAAAACAUAUUAAACCUAAAAAUAGGGAAUUAAUAAUAAAAUAAAGUAAAAAGGUAAAAUUAAAACCAAAUAUUAAAAAUAAUGUUAUUCAGGUUAAAUCAUUGGGUUUGCUAGAGGAGUUUAUAUAUAUAUAUUAGUUUUUUUUCUUCUUUUUAAUCCUAUCUAUGUUGUUGAUAUUAAUGCAUUGAAUUUGAUGUUACCUAAAACAAAAUUAUAUUUCAUGUUCUCUAUUAUAAGUCGACAACCAUACCUUAUGUUAUAUUUUAGAUAAAGAACGAAUAAUGAAGAUUGGAGUUGUAAGAAAUUAGGAGAUCCUAAUUUUAAAUAUGUAACAAAGUUCUAUAAUCACUCCAAUCCACAUUUAAAAAUUGUAUUUCUUUCUAAUAUGGGAGCAAACUUUUUCCUUCUUUCUUAUAAUUUUCAUUUGGGAAUGAUUUAAAAAUAAAUAAAUAAAAGCCCUUCCCAAUAUUAAAAAAAACACUCUUAUAAAAAUUAAUUAGGUGGAUGGUAAGGUCAAAUUCGGGAUAGCUUCAUAUUUUUUGCUUUAAUUGAAACUUAAAAUCAAAAUUAAAGUAAUAAUUUUUAAGAUGUUGUAAAAGUUUUAUUAAACAUGAAAGAACUUAUUGUGUAAACAAAAAUAGAACUAUAGAAUUCUUAUAAGAAAUAACAAUUUUAUGAAUUCUAUAUGAAACCUUUUUUAAAAGUUAUAAGUUUUUUUAUAAAUAAUUAAAUAGGUAUAGAAACUUUUAUUCAACUUAAUUUUUUUUUAACGGUUAAAAGUCAAUCCAAAUAAAAUUUAAAUAUAUUUGAAAAUCAUUUUUAAAAAUCCAAAAAAUCACUUAAAAAUAAUUUCUGAACUUUUUUUUUUUUUAAUUUACAUUCAAAUACUAAGUGAUUCUUUUAAAAAUCAUUUAUAAUGUCAAAAUAUUUUUUUAUGGAUAAAAACACUAGAAAUAAAAAACAUUUUAAUUCAUGAAAUUUCAUUUAUUGUUAUUUAUUUUUUGGGAUUUAAUUCUUUACAAUUAUUUUUGAGUGUUUAUAAAGUAUAAUUAGGUUAUGCCCAAAUUUAUUCCUUUAACUCUAUCCAUUAGAUAUAAGUAGCGUGAAAUUUUGGCCUGUCUCCACCUUUCUUCACUUCUGACAUUGUCAUGCAGUGCUUCGUCAAUGGAUAAUAUAUUAAUUUAUUUCUUAAUUUAAUAGCAUUGGAGUGUCAGCUGGAAUAAAAUGAAAGUUCAAUCAUUUAAUCUUUUUUAGCACACCACUCAUAACUGUCAGUGAUUUCCUGCCAACUUAACAUAUUGACAUGGACUUGGAGAGUUCGGUCAAUUAAAGCAGCUUGGUUAAUUGUAAGUGUUUUUUCUCUAAACCAUAAAUUCCUACGUUUUAAUUUAUAAAAACAAGUGAUUUGUUUUUACUUAAGGAAGCAGGAAAGGGUUUAAAAUAAGAGUUGAAAAGUAUGCCAAUUAUUUUAACUUAAAAUACUUAAAUAAAAAGGAAUUGAUUUUAUCUCAAUUGUAUAAGACUUUAUAAAAAUUAUCAUUUAUAAUUUUUUUGAUUAUUAAUAUGAUACGUAACCUUUGACAGAAUUGGAAUAAAAUAUGGAUAAUUAAAAAAUGUCAACUAUCCCAUUUCAAACUUUUCUAAUACAGCAUGAUAUUUUAUCAUGUUGAAUGAAAUGGGAAUGACCAAAAAUUGUCAAAUCAAAGAUUUAUCUAUUGUGGACAUGGCAUUCAGAGGCUUCUUAACAUUGUAUUGGUCUAUUUAAUGAGUUGAAAUAAGAACACAACAUCAAAUUCUCUUUUUAUAAUCAAAGACUGCUAUGGAAAAUUCCACCAUAGCAUAUCUCAAAUUCCAUUAAUAAUCCCAAACACAAUAUUCCGCAACUUUACAUUAUUCUUUUUAUCAACUUUACACAAAAAAUUGAAGAGGAAUACUAACUUAAAUCAAACAGAAAUUAAAUCAUGAAAGAUGAAUAAUACAAAUAUUCAAUGAAAUCUUUGGCGUGUUAUUUCUUUGCAGCUUCAACAUGGUGGCAUGUCCGACGGAGGAGACAACAUUUGAGCUUCCGGGUGUUUACCAUUUUUCACUAUGAACGCAGUUUCCAUGCCCCAAGUCAGAUGGCGUUCUACAUGGCAGUGCAUGAACCACACUCCUGCAACAGAGAAAAUAUACCAACAUUACACCUAACUUUAUUGUAAUAUUAAGAAAAAAUAUUUCAUUGGUAUGGAGGUUGGCAGUUUCAAGGGUUUUUUUCUUUAAUAGAGGACAUGAGUGCUUGGAACAUACCAGGGUUGGAUGCCUCGAAUCUGAUUGCAACCCAACCAUUCGAAGGAACAGAGAUGGUAUUCUGAAAGGGAGGAUCCACCAGAUUAUAGCGCAAAGGGUCCUUAUUUCCAUCGAAAUUCCCAAAUCCCCAUCCAACAACAUAGAAACUGUAUCCAUGGAGAUGCAUGGGGUGGUGUGUCGCUGCAAGCACAUUUGUCCCUUGAAAAACAAUCUCCACUGUGGAGUUAUACUCGAGCACCCUUACUUCUGUUCCGCUGCUCGGCAACUGAUAGAUUAAUGGAAGAUAAUCAGCUGUAAAAUCGAACACCAGUGGUGGAUCACUAGGAAAUUUAUCUCCAUAUACACCACUGAUGUUAUAAUAGUAAGCUUGCAGUAUGUCAACUGUAGGGGUAUGGAAGCUUAUGUUGUUUAUACUUGAGGAGAAUCGCGUCCCAUUGGCCCCUGCACAUGAAUUAUUGACGCAUGGGUACGAGUUUACAGAAACAGUGUAAAUCAGGUUAGUGCUCGUGCUCAAUGGGACAUUGCAAGGAUGUUCCGCAUUUGCUAAGCUUCGGAGGCCGGCCAUGACCUGAACGGAUGCAUUUGUGUCAUUGUAAGCAGGAAGAUAAGGCAAGGAGGGAGGUGAAGAUGGAGUGUAGUAUCCGCUGUAUUGUACAAUAGCUGUGGUGGUUGUGUUAUCAUAAAAGUCUUGAUAUUUCGGGGCAACAGAAUAAGUUAUAGCCGCCAUGUAAUAGUGAUCCGGGCGUUGGUUAGCUUCUAGUAACACAUCAUAGGUUUGGCCAGGAAAUAUUGUGAUAAAAUCUAUUGUCAAUGGUUUCGUGUAGCUACCAUCUGUUCCAACCACUGUAAUUUUAUGCUUGUCAAUGGAGAAGAAGAGAGCCUCCUGCAAAGCAGCAUUGAUUAUGCGAAGUAGAUAGGUCUUUCCAUGAUCCACCGUUAGCUUGAAUGUGUCUGCAAUUAGAGAAGGAAAGUUGUAUACUUAUGACUAGCCAAAAGAAAAAGAAAAAGUUUCCAUGAGGAUCCACUAAUUAUGAAGUGAUUGAUUGAUGAGGGGUGUAAAUUUGGCUCCAUAGUUCAAAAUUAUAUUUGGACUAGCCUUUUUUUGUGUUUUAAAUCAUGGCUCUACCAUCCUCAUAGCUAUAUUCCUCUUUCUUAGCAUUAAGCUUUAAAUAUGUUGAUGUUAAUAAGAAAAAGUAAUAUGGCUAACAUAUAAGAAAAUGAAAUUGUGUACAAUUUUAAAAUGGGAAGUUAAAC